UUUUUUUUUUGGUGCUUCGGUCGAAGACUUCCUGAACAAGAUGUUCGGCGGUCGACCCAAUAAGGCUUUUGCCCCCCAAUCUCAAGGUAACAGUCUAUUUCUACAUUCUUCCUUCGACUUUGAACUCUACUAAUUUGUUUUUUCUUUCUCAGGUAGUCGGUCACUGAAAAAGGCAAAAAUGGUCGCUGCGGCUGCAGCUUGGAAAAAAUCAACCAUCUCCAAAAAGGCUAAGACUACCGCGUAGGCCUUGCUGAGCAAACGGCCUCAUCAAGAGGCCGAGACGAUCGUCGAACCCCUUCAACCAGUAAAACGGGUCAAGAAGCUGGCGAGGAAAGGAGAAAGAGAGAUUCAUGUUAUCUCUAGUCAAACUACGGGAGCGACGACUCCUAGUGUUUCCCCUUCUACCCCUGUCGUCCAAGCUUUGAGAGAGAAACGGCCAAUUCUGACCAAAGAAACCACCCAUGUACGGCCUGUUUCUCAAGUCUUUGGACCAGUUGUUGCUCCACUGGUCAAGGCGUCUACAGCUUCGGGGCCAGCUGAUGCGCUUGUCUUGGAAGGGACGACUCCUUUGGUCGAGAAAAUCUCCCUGAAAAUCCAAAACACACGACAGUCGUUCUAGAAGAGAGCGACGGGAGUGAUGAGAUUCCCCUGACGAGUCGCCUUUAACCACGUAAUCCACAUCCCCCUAUGCUUGAGGCGGUUGUCGAAGUCGGCCUUUCUGCGGUCGAUCGUGGCAAACGACCUGCUGUAGAGCCAGAAGCGACGGCUGAAACACCCGUUCAUCUGCAGGAUCAUGACCUCAACAUUCCUCCCCAAGAAGCCAUUUCGACCUUCGUAAGUACCCCUACCGCUUUUCUUUGGUUACUUUUCUACCUUAGAACUCUAAACUAGGAAGAUACCAAAUGUCAAGUGCCUACCCAUUCUUUUCAUCGAAAUUUCUACGCGCCGAAAGGUGUUAUCUAUAUUUCUUGGCCGCCGCAGUGGCCAUCGAACUUAGAUAACCUCCAUCGGCUGUGUGAAUUGAGAACCAGUCUAAGACACUGGGCUCGGCCAUUAAGUUCUUUAGGUUCGAGCAACAAACCAGAAUACAUGGCUGAAGUCUCCUCUCGGCAGGUUUAAAACAAAAACCUUAUUGCUAUAUUCUUUCGUGAUUUCCUUGUGCUUAAACUGAUUUUUGUGUGUGCAGCCUUUAUGGGAAGUCGAGUUUAAAGCUCUCUUGUCAAGCACUUCUAGAGCGGCUGGCCUUUCGGCUACUACAACUGAACCUGUCGAUUCAGCUGCUCUGGUUCGGCCGUAAAAAGUUUUGUCUCUCUCAGCGUCACAAGUCCUUGAGCGUAAAGGUCUUGAUUUGUUGGGUGCAUGCCUAAACGACCUCGGAGUAGAUGGUCAAAUGAGCACCGAGGCUAUCAUUCAGGCGUCGUCCAUCUUGGAGCGAGUUCGGGAAUCCUUUAGUGUCCUCAAGAACGCUCUUCGGGCUGAUAAUGAUUUGAAAGCUGCCAUGGCCGUCCAAGACACUCUUUGUCUGAAGAUCGAUGCUUUAAAGGCGAAAGGGGAAGCCUUGGCCGACCUCGACUGUCAAAUGGCCGAAUUGGCAAAACGAAGGUCAGUUAUUACUUCUGAGCUUGCGAAGAACUUCGAGUUGGGCGGCAAAGAUUGUUUAACCGAGUAUGCGGUGAACGCGAAGCGAGUCGAGCAGCUAAAGAUGGACAAGAAGAACCGGCAGGCCGAGGUCAUAAUGGGCGAGGUGCGGUGGCUGGAGCUGAAGGCCCUUCUUGGAACUCUUCUUCCUUCAUCACCCUAAAAUGAUUUGACUGUAAACCAGCUUAUUAAUGAAACGAGUUUUUAUUGUUGCAUCUCCCAUAUGACUGGGUAAUAUUUCUUUAAGAACUUUCCAUUAAUUGGCAACCUGUGAAUAACACCGGUUCGAUUUCUAAGAUGGUAUGCCCCCUUACCGAGAACUUUAUGGACGAACGGUCCUUCCUAAUUCAGUGACCAUUUGCCAAACCUGGGGUUUUUAAUGCCAAACUUUUAAGCUCGCCGUAUAUUCUUUGAACCUUUCAGCUGUGAAGACUGUGCCAUUAUCAGUUAUGAUCGUUUCUGGAACACCGAACCUGGUCACAAUAUGUUCCUCCAUAAAAUCGUAAAUCUCUUUGGAUGUUAAUUCGGAGUAUGAUUUUGCUUCGAUCGACUUAGUGAAAUAAUCCGUUGCCACGAGUAUCCAUGCAUGUUUCGUUGCUCCAGAGGAUGGUGUGAUUUUACCGAUCACGUCCAUUACCCAUCCUUUGAACGACCAAGGUUUGGUGACCGAAUGAAAUAAUUCGACCGGGGCCUUUGGAUGGGUCCAUGAAUUUGACACUGGACGCAUCUUCGUGCAUACUCGAUACAAUCUUUCAAUAUGCUUGGCAAAAAGUAAUUGUGUCGGCGAAGUAGCCAACGCAUCUUGCGUCCUGAUUGAUGGGCUCCACAAAUUCCUUCAUGUACCUCUGUGAUUGCUUGGGCGGCUUCUUACGGGCUGAGGCAUAACAGUAAUAAACCGUCAUCGCCUUUUCAAUACAACUCAUUUUGGUAUGAGAUAUAGUUUGGGGCAUGGACCUUUGUCUUUUUGUCAUGUUUACCUCCGGGAUUAUCAAGGUAUUGCAUAAUUGGCCUUCUUCAAUCAUUUGGUAGCGUCUCGACCACGCAAACAUCUACAGGAUCCUCCCGUUCCAACAACGAAAGUAAGGACAUUACCCGUGUACGGAUGACUUGGUCUCGCUGAAGGAUUUGUUAAUUAACCAAAGACGGAUACGAGUGCCGUAAAAUGGGUAUCAUUGGUCCACUCCUACCCUCCAUUAGUUGUGCUCCAAAGGCUAUCCGAGCGAGUUCGUCUGCGACGAUGUUCCGUCCACAGGAAAUAUGGUUGAACGUGAUACCAUCGAAUGACUCUGCCAAGUAACUGGCCACCAUGUGAUAGGGCGCCAGAGUGCAACUCAUGCACCGAAAAGUUCCAUUAAGUUGGUUAAUCACAAGCUCCGAAUCACCGAAGACGAGGACACGAGCAGCAUGCAAAUCAUGAAGUAUGCUAAGGUCGAUAACAAGGGUUUCAUACUCGGCCUGAUUGUUGGUACAAUCGAAAUCCAACUUGAGGGAAAAGAACCAACGGUGUUGGUGUGGAGACUGGAGUACGAUCCCUACACCGACCAAUGUUGACGUGCUGGAACCAUCGAAAUACAUCAUCCAAUAAUUGUCACGUGCUUCCAUCAUUUCGAUUUCAACAUCGUUGCCCCCGAACCCAUAUAGAGAAUGAUGGUGGGCUAAGAAAUCAACAAGCGCUUGUCCUUUGACGGCUUUUUAUGGGACGUACUGCAAACUAAACUCCGAUAAUGCCAGUGUCCAUUUUCUGAUUUAGCCUUUGACUAUUGGCCGAGUAAGCAUAUAUCGAAUAACAUUUGUCUGGGCGAUGACCUGUGUAACGGAUGUGAGCAUAUAAUGUCGGAGUUUUGAUGCAGUGAAGAACAAAGCCAAGCAAAGCUUCUCAACUGGUGAAUAAUUGAUCUCUGGAGGAUUGAGGUGUUGGCUGAGAUAGAAAAUAGCUUGUUCUCACCCAGCAUCAGUAUCUUAUGCGAGAAGGCAACUGAUGGAUUUUUCGGCCGCUGAAAUGUAAAGCUUAAGGGGUUUAUCGCGUCGAGGAAGUACGAGGACAUGCGGAGUCACAAGAGCAACCUUGAUUUGGGUAAAAGCCGCUCGAUGGUCUUCACACCAUUCAAACUUGUUUGAGCCCUUAAGUUUCAAAAACGUAGAGAAUGCCGUCAUUUUGCCAGCGGAAUUAGCUAUGAAUCGACGAAGAAAAUUUAUUUUCCCGAGCAAGAACUGGAGUUAUUUUUUGGUCGUUGGUGGUGGGGCAUCAAUAAUGGCAUGAGCUUUGUAUGUGUCGACCUCGAUGCCGCGAUGGUGGACAAGAAAACCUAAGAAAUUACCGGCCGACACGUUAAAGGCGCAUUUGGCUGGGUUCAUCUUAAGGUUGUGUUGUCGCAUGAGAAGGAAAGCUUGCCGAAGAUCAUCAAUAUGCGUUCGGUGACGUUUUGAUUUGACCACGACGUCAUCAAUAUGUACUUCUAUGGUAGUGCCGAUCAGGUCAUGAAAAAUGGUAUUCAUCACGUGUUGAUAUGUAGCACGAGUGUUUUUUAGACCGAAUGGCAUGACUACCCACUCGUAGGUUCCAAGUGCCCCCGAGCAGCGGAAAGCAGUUUUAUGAACAUCGGCCUCGAUAAUAAAUAUCUGGUUAUAACCGGCAUGUCCAUCCAUGAAUGACAGCAUGUCAUCAUUAGCCGCGACGUCGAUUAGCAAAUCUGAAAUUGGCAUGGGAUAUGCAUCCUUUGGUGUUACCAUAUUCAAAUUACAAAAUUCAAUGCAAAUGCGUAGGGCCCCAUUUUUUUUUAGCACUAGUACGAUAUUUGCCAACCAUUCGACGUAUCGAGUGGUUCGGAUAAACCCGGCAUUUAACAGUCGAACAAUUUCAUCCUUUAUGCCGAGUUGUACUUCGAUUGAGAAUCGGUGAGGAGGUUGUUGAACGGGCUUGCAACCAGGUUUGAUACGUAAUUCAUGUUCGACAAGGGUCCGGUCGAGACCCGGCAUCUCAUGAUAACUCCAAGCAAAACAGUCUUUAAACUCAUGAAGCAAUUAAUGGAGUUCAACUUUUAUGGCAUGGGGUAAUAACGCACUAAUAAAUAGCGACGGAGGAUCAUCGACCAUUCCAACGCUUAUUUCCUCUAGAGGAUCCUUAACUUGGGGUCAGCUGUUGUCGAGCUCGGUCGGUACGGCCUGAACUUUAUCCAACGAUAGUACCGGGCCGUUAUCCUCUUCGGCCAAAAAUUCAAUUAAGUUGAUGCCCGAAUGCGGGUGCUUGGAAAUAGCAUCCCAAUGUGACAGCAGGCGUUCCAUCGUGGAUGAAACCGCGGCCCAACGCCUCUUGCUUUUGAUGUUAAUCAUCAGUAGUGGGGAGUAAAUUGGCCAAACCGAGUCUCGCCGAAUCCUGGUGGACAAUCUGGACGCCUACCUCGAUGGCUUUCUGGACUGAGAUCCGAGUCAGCCGUCCAUCUUCAUUAAAACCUUGUAAGGUAAUAUAGCCGACGUGAUAAUCAUAAUAGCGGGCCUGAAUCAGCUGAGUGGACCACGACCAAUUUACCAUCCUAAAAAAUAAGGACUUGGUAUAAAGAAGAAGGAAUGCAAUUCAUUUGAUGAAUCAAAUCCCUACCGAGCAAAGCAUUAUAUUCGAUCAUGGAGUCGACGAUAAAAAAUGCGGUAAUGUGAUUGCGACCUAUGAUGUUUACCCCUAGAGGGAGUACUUCUUUGGUCUGAGACUUGUCAUCGACAAAGCUACUCAUGGUUAUUCCUAAAGGAAUGAGUUCGUCGGUGGAUCGUCGUAUUACUUUCAUGAUGGAUACAGGCAUGAUAUUGACUGUUGCUCUGCAAUCGACGAAAAUCUUGGAGAUUAGGUAGCCUUCAAUAUGGGGCGUGACAUACAACAGUUUUAAAUGUUGAAGAUUAGUCAAGGAAGAAUGGGGAAACAAAAUGUCCAAAGCUGUUUUAAGUUUAUCGUCGACGUUAGUUGACUCAUCUUCAGUAGUAGUGACGAAAUCAACUUGUGUUGCCUCCUCGGCGACCACAUCACCGUCCAAGGGACUUGGUUGGUGUGUAGUCAGCUGAAAUUCGGCAGGAAGAACAUGGACCAUGUUGAUUUCCAUAUUUUCAAGGACUUGAGGGCCCAUUGGAUCUUGGUCAUCAUCUUCCGGAGUGGUGAGGACUAUAUCAUCGUGUGUUGGAGCAUUCGCGAUCGGCUCGCUAUGUGUCUCAAUAUAUUUAGGCGCUUGUGCCACACAAUUUGACGCUAUCCUGUUGACUGUCGUCUUCGGGCUUGCAUGCAUCUGGUGUCAGACUUUGCUCCUACCGUAUUUUGCGAGCUCGUUCCUCAUAGGUGAUCGGGGCAUUCUUGGUGUCCAAACGUGCCACCCGCUCUAUCUCAUCGACCGUUAAACCGAACAAGGAGAUGGUGUUAAAGAUCUUCGGCCGUUAAACCGAAGUGAUAUCGAAAUUGUUGAAGAUCUUCAAGAGAAAAAAUGAGUUCGGCUGUGUCAAUAUCCGUGUAUGGGUCAACCUCGAAGUCGAGAACCCUAGCCUCUCAAAUAUGCUGGAAGCUAGCUUUUAUUGCUGGAUCAGUGGUUUUUUGGAUGAUCUGCUCAACAUCGAGGUAAGUUAAUGCCAAGUCAAGAGUAUCUUGGCAGGCAUUGGGCAACCCAUACAAGUCGUUGGUGGAAUAUUUCUUGUGAAAUUCUUUCAUAUAUUCUAAUGAUUCUCCGAGGAAUGGAGGGUGCAGAUUCCUCCAAACUUUGAUUAGUGGUUCUUUCAAAGGUAAUGUGGGCAGUUGGCUUUCGGCCUCUUUCUUAAUCGCUGAUUGGUGUUGUGAUGUCGGCAUCUGCAUCAAAGGCAGUUUCCUCUUAGGCUCGGUUAAUACAACGUGUUCCUUACAAUUGCUAGAUAGAACUAUCGGCCCGCUAUUUCCAUCUUCGUUGGAGUCUGACAUGGACUCGACUAUGGCAGGUCAUGAGAGUUUGGUAGGUGGUGCAUUAGAAAACAAGUCGAUCUUGAGUCGAGGUUGGGAACCUUUCUUUAGGAUAUGUGGUACUAUUGGCCCGCCAUUUUCUUCGUCAUUGUAGUUUGACAUUGGUUCAACUAUGGCCGGUCCUGAGAGCUUGGUAGGUGGCACGUUGGAAAAUAGGUCCAUCUUGAGUCGAGGCUGGGAGCUUUGCUUUCAGAUGUGUUGUAUUGGGGCAAAUUCGACCUUCUCUUUUCCUUUGCUCUUGGGCAAACAGGCGUCUAUCAUGCCGACUGUUGCUGAAGGGAAUGGAUUCGUAUCAACCGUCAUGCGUUUUUCAGGAAACUUUAACUUGCCUUUGUCAAUCCAGCUUUGGAUAUCAUCACGAAAUAUGACACAAUUGUUUGUUGCAUGCUUUGUCGAGUUAUGGUAUUUGCAAUAUGUCCUUCCUUUAAGUUCUUCGGCCUUGGGAAUAUUAUGCCCUGGCCGAAGUUUAAUGAUCUUCGCUAACAGCAAUUGAUUAAAAAUUGCUUCGGCCUUUGUGAUAUCAAAGGUAUAAACUUUUGAUGUUUUUGCUGUUUCUUCAGUGGUCGAGCGGGUUUUGAUCUCUUUGAAAUUAAUUUGAGUCAAUGCCUUGCACACGUAUGGUUUAUCUAUUACUAUCUUGGCCGCGUCCACGCUGACGUACGGAGAUUCCUCACCUUCGAUCGACGCGUAAUUGAUCGUAGGGUGUUUGUAAAUCGUCCCUCGAGAUGGGGAUUUCGACAUCUUCUCUUUUCGGAGCAAAUAGUCAUAUUGCUGACAUGCUGGGCUAAUUCAUACAUAUCCCAAAAGUUUGCCCCCAAAUUUCUUUUUGUAUUCUACAUCGAGUCCGUUCAAAGCAAGUCUAACAAACUCGACUUUAGGGAGAGGUACUCGACACCAAUUUCUGGCUGAUUUAAAUUUGGUAAGAUAAUCCAUUGGUGACUCAUUAGAUGCUUGAGCCAUUCUUGCCAACGAAGAAACUGACGUUUCUAUCCUUGGCCGAUAAAAUUGCUCGUGAAAUCUCUCGACCAAUUCCUCCCAGCUUUGGAUGGAAUUAGGUGGAAGGUUGAUGUACCAAGCAAAUCCUGAACCUAUUAAUGAAAAGUUAAACAGCCGCAACUUGUGAAAAUCACUGUUGACAUCUCCGCAUUGCGAUGUGAAACGAGCCACAUGUUCAAACGAGGAUAAAAAUGAUUCUCCAGCGAAAAGACUAAAAUCUGGAAUUUUGAAACCUUUAGGAUAUUAGAACCGUUCCACGUAAGCUGGAUAUGGAUGGAUGAAUUUAGGGAACUUUGGCCCCUUUUUCAUGGCCGAAUCAAUCAUCCGCUAGACCUCGGUUAUAUCGACAAAAGUUACUUCCACUCUCUGGUCGGGUCCAUCUGUCCUGCUACUCAAUCCUUUUUUUUUUCUAAGUCAAUUGGCUUGAGCCGAGUAGGAAUUUGCUCGGCCUGUACUAUUGGCAAUAGAUUAUUCCUUGGUGGCAAUUGUCGAGAAAGAUCGAAUAACCUGUCGUCGCAAACUUUGCUAACCAGUAUUUCAAGCAAUCUGUUUUGUACCUCAUUGUUACUGCGUAUCACGUCGUGCAGUUUAUCGAUUCCUCGACUAAACGUCUGUUCAACCGCCCUAGACUGUUCGUCAAGUCAUUUUCGAAGAAACGAUCUUUUUGGUGGAUCAGAGCCUUCACCACCAUCCUCAUCACAGUCCUCCACUAUCCCUUCAUUGAGAGCACAUGUGUUUUUGUUAGGGAUUUCUAGACUGCAAAGCUGACCGCCAAGACCAACUUUCUUUUCUCGGUGAGUCGCGCUUGUGGACUCAGGUGUCACGGCACUAAGGGGAUUUUGUGCCUGUGAUACACUUUGUCCUAUGUUCUGAAUUGGCAAAUCGGUUGUUGAUUUUCCCAUAGUUGUUUUCUUUUUAACCGAUCGCGUUUCAAUUGGCAUGAACUUCGUAGUUUAGCACUAGGUCCCACUAGGCGUGCCAAAAUGUUGACCUUAAAAACUACCAAGCCUACGUGGCGCGCAGGCCGAGUAAUCUAUGAGCUAACUACGUUCUUCGGUUGAAUGCAGGGCAUGCCAACUCGUCGGUCAAGGAGUAUAAAUAUGUCGAUGUUGUGUUGAGUGCGUGGCCGACUUCUGCGUCUUGCGAUUGCGACCGAGGAAGGAACAUAUCUCGGCCUCUUGGGUUCUCGAACCUGAAGACAAGGCUACUAUUCUUACGAAGUUCACAAAUCGUCAUCGUCGAAUUUGGUCACAGUGAUGGUAUUCGUAAGAGUAAAUUCACGCUGAAUCGACAUCAAAGUAUAAGGGCACAAAUACUCAAAGCGGAUAUAUGUCUUAACAAUAAACGUGAUUCGACUGUCGGAAUGCCGAACUCUAAAUCCUACUUGAGAGUAUCCAAUCAUAAACUAGCUUGGCGUGCAAUAUGCUGAGCCUAAUAAACUGUAACACCUCACUUCGUCGAGAAGGCUAAUGAGAUGACCUCGACCAAUAAGGAUUCGGGAAUCCUUUUUGACCGAGACUUAGAUAGAUAACCAGUCACCCUCGACAUAGUGCUAUCUAUGCCGACUGAAGAUGCCGCGAGACUGGCUAGUUCUACGGUGACAGUGCUAUCUAUGCCGACUGAAGAUAUCACCAGUUGUCUUCACAGUGCUGUUUAUCCAAGCUGAAGGUGUGUCAGCGAAAAAAGAAAAGGAAAAGUCUCAAGGUUGUUGAGAAAAUUUGCGCAGGGCAGUUGUGUGUUGAUAUGAAGGGGGUUUUGAACGAUGCACAGCCUCCUCUAUUUAUAGCAUCAGGUACUUUCUAGAUCGAGUUAAAACCCCUAGUCGGAUUAGGAUUUCUUCUUCUAAUCAAACACCAUCUCGACCAGUCCUAUUUUCACUAUGACUUUGAACCUAGUCCUUUAUCAAGCCGGAUUCACUUCCGGGUUAUCAAUAUCCAUAUCUUGCCAAGACUCCUUAUUGCUCCAGGAUUCAGUUACUCGUCUCGCAGAAUGACUUAACCAACCUAGGUUAGGAAGCCCAUGAACUAAACGAUCUACGGUAACCUUUUCGUAAGGCCUUCCGGGCCGAGAAUAAAUCUUGGCCCAAACAAAUAUUUAGGCCUAAACAAUUGUACACGUUGUUUCCCCUGAGUUCCAAUUGGUGGCCAAUCAGCUAAAUUUUCUGGAUGGUGAUGGAAAACAUGGAACAUGUGGAUUUCGUUGAGAUGGUCAAUUGAGAAAAAAAAGAUAAAAGCCGUUAUGUUUGAGGUUUUUCCUCACACUUCGGCCACCAUCUUAAACAUUUGAAGCCUUUUUAUUUGCCUACCUACAUUGAAGGUUUGGGUUUUUAGCAUUGUCCAACCUAACAUGAUGACUAACGAUUUGGGUUUUGAGCAAGCCCAUCAAGACAUGGUGUUUUGACGGUCAAAUCUAGGAAGCCUCUAUAAGAACUCAACGUAUAGCAGGUUAGAUGGGAUUUUUGUCAGUCGAGUGAAUAGCGUACAAGUAUAAAUCGAGGCAAUAAAUGCAAGUCAGUGGAGGUGGUUAUAAAUCAUUUGCUUAUUCAACAAUCUCUGGAGGAAUUAGGAUUGUUAAGAAUCAUAUGGGGUUUUGAUAAGAUUCAAAUUAUUCUAAGGAUCCAAAUUUUUGGCAGAUCAGAUAAGAAAUGGAUUGACAGCAAAAUGGGACUAGGUUCAGAAUCCUAGUCCAAGUCAAAGAGACCGAAAUUUGACAAAGAUAAAGUUUCCGUAAAAGAGGGGUUUGAUAAGAUAAUAUCAAGGAUAUCCAUGAGCAUGUCGAGGGGUCACAGACUUAUUAGAACUUUACUUUGGCAGACUUGACCAUCAUGAAAUUCACCUCUAUAAAUACAAGGGGUAUCACAACGUUGAAUAGAGCUUCAACUCAAUACACAAACAAACGCUUUACGUGAAACCCUUUCACACCCUUAUGGAAAACACUAUUUACUUGGCUAACCUGUUAACACGAAUUAAGUUUUCUUAAACAUCACUGGGUUGACAAACUGGCACGAAUUCAGUUUGGCUAAACAUCAUUGGAUUCAUAGAAUCAGCUCAGUCUAGGAGUUUUUUCAUUUUAGUAAACAGUACUUACUCCUCUUUCGACUGGUUAUCCAUCUCAAGUCUCAGUCAGCGAAGUGUUUUCGAUUCUUUCGCCGAAAGAGGUUAACCAACUUUCCCGACGAAGUGCAGCGUUUUAUGAUUGGUUACUCAAAAGUAUCAUUCAGGAUUCGGCAUUCAGAUGGCUGAACAACUUUACCAUAAAGGCGCUCAUUUCCUGAUACCAAUCAUGCGGCAUGCACGUGACUAGAGAUUCAAAUUAAUCUCUUCUACUUCUUUAUUUGUUGCUUUAACAAAUACAUCAAACUAGAUAUAUAAUUAAGAUAACACGUUGUAUAAUAUUUAUUAAUUGUCCACUAUGUAUUUAAUUAUUCAAAUUAAAUUUAUCCCAGUAAUAUGUUUGGAAACUCAACUUCCAACUUGGUAUCAAAGUAAGUUGUUCGACAUGUGAAACCCAACAACCACACACACUCUAUGUCACCCAAUUUGUGUUGUUCACGUGUUAGACUUGAAAGUUCACCAUAGUUAAAGAGGAGUGUUGGGAGUAUGAAUCUCACAUCAGGGAAAUAAGUAACAUUGCAUGUGGUUAUAAGUAGUUGAGCUACUCUUCGUAUUAUCAAUUGAUUUUAUGAUUGAAUAUCAUUUUGUUCACCUUUAAGGUACCUUUUUUGUUUUAAUAAAACUAGCAUCUACCCACACACGUAACUACCUCAUGUUGGAGUUUUUAUUUUUAUUUUAAAUGUUUUUAAUUCAAAAUUAGUAUUUUACCAUUUUUUCCUUUCUUAAUGAAAUUAUUUUCCCUGAAAAUUAUAAGUACGGAAGAUCGUUCUUAAAAAAUCAUUUAAAUAAGAGAAUGUUUGGGCAUCUAAAUGUAUUAAAUAAAUAUGUUACUUGUUUAUUAUGAAUAUGUUACUUGGUGCCCACACCACCUAUUUAUUCAAUCAUUUGAAGGACCAAACAAUCUCUAAUUUGAAUGAUGUUUUCUAUAAAAUAUUAUUCAAAUACAAUAACCAAGCCAUAUUCCACUAAGUGAGGCCGGCUGUAUGAAUUAUAUGACAUCACUGCGCUGAGCUUUGCACCAAGUACUCCAUAUCUUUUCUUAUAGUCUCUUUCAAAGUCUUUCAAAGUCUUCCUUUACCAAGUACUCCAUAUCAUUGCGCUGUGGGUCUUCAGUUCAUGUGUCCAAACCAUCUUAACUGAUUUUCUCUCAUCUUAUUUUCAAUUGUGGUCACUCCUACUUUACCUCAAAUAUCCACUUCUUAAUUAUAUCAUUUCUCAUGUGACAUAGAUCUAACGAAGCAUUCUCAUCACCAAUACACUCAAUUUUUGAACGUGUUGCUUUUUAACCGCCCAAAUAUUCGUGCCAUAAAGCAUCGAUAUCCUUAUUGUUGUCCUGUAAAAAUUUUCCUUGAGCUUUAAUGGCAUAGGCGAUCGCACAACACAUUCGAUGCACUCGAUGCAUUCUUCCACUUCAUUCAUUCAACUUGUAUUCUAUGGUUGAGGUCUCCAUCUAAUUCUUCGCUAUUUUGCAAGAUAGAUCCAAGAUAACGAAAAUGUUCACCUUUUGGUAUUUCAUGAUCUCCAUUCCUAACCCCUAUCUCAUUUAAUCCCAUAUUUGCACCGAACUUGCACUUCAUAUACUUUGUCUUUGACCUACGAAGACCUUUAGAUUCUAAUACUUCUUGCCAAAGGUUAAGCUUUGCGUUUACUCUGUCAUGCGUUUCUUAUAUCAACAUUAUAUCAUCUGCGAAAAGCACACCAAAUGAUAUCAUCUUGAAUAUGUUUUGUUAACUCAUUCAUUACCAAUACAAAAAGGUAAAGACUUAAAGUUGGCCUUGGUGUGACCUUAUUACUUAUGGGAAUGCCUUCAAUUUGUCAUUCAUGAGUUUUUACUACAAUCCUUGCUCCAUCAUACAUAUCCCUUAUUAUUUGGAUAUAUGCUACUCGUACUCAUUUCUUCUCUAAAAUCCUCCAACGAAUUUCUCUUGGGACCUAUCAUACGCUUUUUUGAAAUCUAUGAAGACCAUGUUCAAAUCCUUUUUCAUAUCUCUAUAUCGUUCCAUUGAUCUUUGAUGCGAAAAUUAUCUUAACACACAAAUUUAACCCUCAUUUGACAAUUGUAGUACAAGUAUAAGUAGGGAUUGUUCUGGACCGGGGAUUAUGAGGGCUUGCUAAUAACCUCUAAACUGACUUAAAAACAUAAAAUUAAACUUAAAAACACUUAACAAUACUCACAAGACUCAAAGCAAACGUAAAAUACUCAAACCAGCUUAGAACAACUAAAUAAACUUAAACUAGACACUAGGAAUGACUUUGGACGAAAAUUGACUUUACUUGAAUCAAAACAUUUAAAAACACAAAUUAAAACAGAUUCUAACUAAUUAGACACACUAAAGUAAAGGGGGAUUGAGUUUUGGACGAAGUUGAAACAAACAAACAAGUAUGAAAAACUAUACAGAUUGUAAAACAAAUUUGAGAAAUAAGAUGAUGGAUGGGAUAGCUAGAAGCUUUUUCUCCACACAUGACAUGUAUGCAAAUAACUCGAUUUCCAGUUACUACUUCAUUGAAUUAUGAACGACAAUGCUCCAAAUUAACCGUGCCAUCACUAGUUAACACUCAGAUUUUCCUUAUUUUAUUGGAUUGGAUGACAUCAUUCGACAACCCAAAACAUUCUUCUAAAGUUCCCUACAUGACAUCAUAAUAGAGAUACAAUAAAAGAUCAUUACGUUUAAUGAAAAUCAUAAGCAUUGACAAAGCACUUGCAACUAUGACAUCAUGUCACUCAUGCUAGGAAUUGAACUUAACGUGAUCGUUUAUAAGCGACCUUCACUACAUGUGAAUAUAAGUUUGUAACGAUUAUGUGAAACUUCCUUAUAUUUUAGCAACGGAUUUAUGCAUGCCAAUUAAGUGUCGACCCUUAAUUAACAAAUACAAAUAAGUUAUCAAUCAAAUAGUUAAGCCAACUGCAUUCACGAUUCAAGAGUUCAUAACUGGAAUUUAUCAAAUUAUAUUGCACACAUAAUCAUGGCUUUGAAAUCACCCCUAGCUAAGAGGGGUUUAGCCACUCAUAUUCACAACAAAACAAAAGAAAAUGAAUUUAAACAUUGGAAACAAAAGAAAGAAAACACCUAAACGCUCCAACGAUCCAAGUUGGACAGCAAGCACGUCCAAGCACUUUCCUUUCCUUCCCUUCCUUUGCUACGGCACAAGGUGUUGGUAAGUGUUUGAAGGUUUGUUUGUAUGGAGGAAUGGAUGUGAAGAUUAAUGGAUGUGUUUGGAUGAAGGUUGUAUUGAAUGCGGCAAAGAGUGGAGAAUUGUGUAGAUGAUAUGUGUGUGUUUUGGAUGGAUUUUUUUCUUUCUUGUUAUGGUGAAGGGUGGAUGUAUUUAUAGGCUAGGGAGACGACCACCGUCUAAUUAAGGUGGUAGUGGUGUAUGUUGUGGUAAUGAGUGGAUGUAAUGGGUGUAGUGGGUGAAUGUUUGGUAAUGAGUGGAUGUAAUUGGUGUAGUGGAUAGAUGUUUGGUAAUGAGUGGAUGUAAUGGGUGUUGGAAGUAUGCCCACAAAGCCACUCAUUUGAUGUAAUAGCUUUUGGAAUACUUAUUGUAUUAAACUUUUACAUGUUUAAUGAACGGCAAAGCAUAUUGUUAAUCACUAUUUAUUGUAUCUUGUGUUUAAGCAAUAAGGGAACCCAAGGAAUGUAUUUGAUCUAAGAGAUAAGUGAUUUAAGUAAGUUAGAUUAACGAGACCUUUCUCUUAUGUUCAUUCCUAAAACGUUCCUAGCCAUAGGAUUGCCAAUUGGGCAUUGACAAUCCGCUAAGGUUAGUAUGUGUUAGGUCGACUCAAGCGCGAGUAUGACAAGUCUCAAGUCAUUUAGUGUUGGACACUAAGGCAAAAACAUAGUUGCUCGAAAGAGUGAUCAAGUACAAUGAAAAACAAUCAAAAGAGAGUUCGAACAUACAUGUCAUGUAAGAACUCGAGAGUUGCAAUAUGCAAAGUAGUCCUUUGACCUGAGGCAUCAUAGAUGUCUAAUGGUUAGGUCCUUGAUCUUUGAUCAUGUUAAAGGCAUUCCAUUGGAAUGUCCACGGCAUUGUUGGGGUCAAGCUAUCUAGUCGUGUAGGCAUAUGAAUGCACAACAAAGGAUCUCUAACCUUCCAUGGUGGAAGGAGAAUACUCUAAGAUAUGAUUCGAAAGUCUUUGGCCAAAGCAUAUGAAUAUGACUUAGGAAGUUUGUUCCAAAUCAUAUUCAAUUGAAUCAUAUAGAUAAGUAUCACAUUGGAUAGUAGACAUGAAACAAACAAUCACUCAAACAAUGUGAUUAAGAGUAUUGUGUUAGAGAAGGACCGUAUUGCAUUGUAGUUGUAACUGGAUAGGUUCUCCAACCACUUCUACUUAGCUUGGGUAACCAUGAUAUGCUGCUAGGUGUCACUCAUGGUUUGUGGAAGCCCUAAAGAUUAGCAAACACUAAUUUUAAGGGAGAAUUGAAAUGUGGUUUCAAUUCGCAAUCGAUCGUUAAGAGUAACAAUCGCCCACUACCUUGCUAAAUGGAACCUAAUGGAUCGUACACCAAAUAAGGAUGUUGGUGAAGAAAUUAAAUGAAAUGGAUAAGCAAUUAAAUGGUUUAAUUGAAGAAUGGUCAAGAUUAAUUAAUUAGUUAAUUAAUUAUACGAAAUGUUCGUAUUGGGCUUAUAUGUUGGUUUUGGGUUUUGGGGCCCAAAAGCAUUUUGGUCCACAAGGCCCAUUAUGUUUAAGUUGUAUGACAACUAAAACAAAAUGGGCAAAUUAGCCCAAUAACAAGGUAAGGCCGGCCAUAGGGUGAGGGGUUGCAAAUUUGGAUUAAUUACAAGUUUGCCACUCACAUGUGAUGAAGUAUAAAUUCAACUUUAUAGCUUUAUUUUCAUUAAGGGUUUUUCUUGGUGAAAUGAGGUGAAACACUUUCUCUCAUUUUCUCUUAAGAGGCCAGCCACUUAGAGGAGUUUUAGCUAGCAAUCUAUUCUUCUCUAAGUCAUCCAUUUCAUCUUCACAAUCACAUCCUUGGUGAAGAGACUUAGAGACAUCAAACUUUUGGUGUUUUUGGAGAACAAAUCCUCAAAUCCUCAAAUAAGCAAAUGAGCACUAAAAGGAGGAAAAUCACAAGGAAGAUCCAAGGAGCAAGGAGGUGACUUGAAGGCCCUCCACUUGGGUGAAUCCCUUGUGUAAACAAGGAUGAGCUUCAAGGGUAAAGAAACUCUAAAUCUUACCUUCUCUUUAAAUGUUGUUAAAGAGUUUAUUGGUUCACCAUAUACUAGGCUUUGAAAGUCAUGGGUUUUAUGAAUUGUUUUUUAAUGCAUGCCUACUUUAAUGUGUUAAUAGUUUGCUUAUGUAUUCAAAUGUUCUUACUUGUUCUUAGCUAGGACAAAUUUAUGGUGAAUCCUUUUAGGUUUUGUGAUUUUCAUGUUUUGUGAUUUAAAUGUUGUAAAUGUUACAAGCUUUGUUCUUGCUUUUGAAUAUAAAUUUUGCUAGAAAAUUUAGCAUCUCAAAUGUUGUAGAUGUAUUUCAUUUAAGCAUGAAUAUUGGAACUAAAAUUUGGUGCCAUGUAUGUUGGGAAAUUCGGCCAAAUCCAAAGGGUGAUUUUUGGGUUCAUGUUUGUCUUGUUAAAAUGGUUUUAAAGUGACUUUUGGAACCUCUAAGUACCCUAGGAUAUUAUCCCUCUUUUGAGUGGUGAAAAAAUUGAGUUUUGGUUAGUGAAAACAUUCAUGGAGCUAUUCUGAGUUUUCAUGAGUGUUCUUCAAUGUUCUUGAAGUUCUUGCCAAGAACAAAAAGUUUUGAAGUUUUGAUUCAAAAUAUUUAUGUUUUUCAUAAAGUUUUGGUUUAUUAUUUGAUGGGUGAUGGUUAUUGGUGAGAAGUGAUUAAAUGGCUUUAAUGUUUGUCAUAGACUUUAAGUUUUCUUAUCUACCCAUCCAAAUCACCUUUACCUCACCCACCAAAAUCAACUUGCAAAAUUUUUUUCAAAAAUUUCAAUUGUUCACUCCUUGGCCGGCCACCAUAACAAGUGGGGUACUUUUGGGGCCUUUUAUGCAAUUACAUAAAGUUUUGAUACUUUUGUGUAUUUGCACUUUGGCCCAAAGUUUACGUUUUNNNNNNNNNNNNNNNNNNNNNNNNNNNNNNNNNNNNNNNNNNNNNNNNNNNNNNNNNNNNNNNNNNNNNNNNNNNNNNNNNNNNNNNNNNNNNNNNNNNNNNNNNNNNNNNNNNNNNNNNNNNNNNNNNNNNNNNNNNNNNNNNNNNNNNNNNNNNNNNNNNNNNNNNNNNNNNNNNNNNNNNNNNNNNNNNNNNNNNNNNNNNNNNNNNNNNNNNNNNNNNNNNNNNNNNNNNNNNNNNNNNNNNNNNNNNNNNNNNNNNNNNNNNNNNNNNNNNNNNNNNNNNNNNNNNNNNNNNNNNNNNNNNNNNNNNNNNNNNNNNNNNNNNNNNNNNNNNNNNNNNNNNNNNNNNNNNNNNNNNNNNNNNNNNNNNNNNNNNNNNNNNNNNNNNNNNNNNNNNNNNNNNNNNNNNNNNNNNNNNNNNNNNNNNNNNNNNNNNNNNNNNNNNNNNNNNNNNNNNNNNNNNNNNNNNNNNNNNNNNNNNNNNNNNNNNNNNNNNNNUUGAUUAACUCGAAUCUUCCUACACUGGAUUUUUUUCCGUUUGUAUAUUUUCGAUGAAUUUUUGAAUAUGUAGGUGUUGAUUUUUGGGGGUUUAAGGUGUGCGCAGGUCCAGGAUGGUGGGUGUCCAUGUUCAGAGUAGGGUGGGUUCGAUGGCGUGGUGUACAGAGAGAAGAAAAAGGUGGGAACAGUGGGAAAAAGAAGAAGAAAGGAGUUAGAGAGAAGAAGAAGAAGCAGGGAGUAGAGAGAAGAAGUCAGAAAUUAAAAAAAAAUUAUUAUUAUAAUAAAAAUUAAUAAUAUUUUAAUAAAAUUGACUAGGCUAUUUUUUGUUAAGGGUGGAGAUGCUUUGGCCUAUUACUGUUCACUGGGGUCUAUUACUGUUCACUUGAGUGGAUAAAUGUGCUGGGUGCUGGCGCAAAGUCUUUAAGGGUGGAAUUGCUCUAAUGGUUUUUUGUGUCCUGUGGGACCCACCCACAUGGGUCUUCACCAUUCCCCGUGCAUUCACUCCUUUCUUCACUUCAUCACUCUUUUGUCUUUCUCUUUCACGCAACUCUCUUCUCUCUCACUAACUCUCUUCACUUCUUCACUUGUUUCUCUAUCUUCUCCCUCACCAUCUCUGUGCUCACUGCAUAGAAAACCGCAACAUCUAUCACCAUCUCACUCGCCACCUUGCCGGCACAACCUUGCCCCUCACAGUUUCUCUCUAUCUUCCUUUCGGCUUCUUCCUUGACACAUAAGCAAUGAUGGCGGCGGAGUUGCCAAUCUCCAGCAAGGUAACCACCAGCCUCACAUUCCUUUCCUCACCACAGACUCCCUAUUACCUUUUGCUUUCUGGAAACAAAAACUGAUGCAACGAAUUAACAAGCUCCGUCGCGGCUUGACUUUUCAGCAAGAUUUUCCGUCGAAUCUAGUGUGAGUGAGUCUCAAAAAACAUUAGGUUCUUUAAGUUGUUUAGAGACGUUUUUGUGCACUGCAUGCCUGAUUUGGUUAAGGUUGGAUGCAGUUUCAAUCAUAGGACAAAUUCCCGGUGAGGGCUGUGAGUUUCAAGCUGAUUUUAGGCUAUCACCGGCCACCCAAUGGCCCCAAGGAAGGUAUAUUUCGAAUCCUUACCUUCGUAGCUUUGUUUUGACUUUUGAAUUGUUGAAAAUGGUUGUGUUUUAGACCAAAUGGACUCUAAAACCCCUGGCGUGGCUGCAAGUUGUACUCUCGUUGCGCGUGGUACUACUGUGGAUAGUGCAUGAAGCACAGACACCUCCACCGGAAGGAUGACUGCUUGAAAGGAUGAAUAUAAGUUUGAAAUCAUUGCGUUGUUUUUUUCUUUAAUUUAUAGUGUUGAUUUCUUGGUUGAGUUUCAACAUGUGACUGAUAUGUCAAGAAGAGAAACUAUGAGCAGUAUUUUCCUAUUCCGAUCUGGUGUUUUCAAUUGUUUGAUUCAGGUUGUAGGGUAUUUUCAUUUUGUUAUUUUGUUAAUUUUCUUUUAAAUGUAACUAAUAGAGCACAAUUACAAAAAAUGUCUUAACAUGAAUUUGAAAUGUCAUCUGACAUAGUUGUCAGAACAGGGCGCAAAAAAAACCCUUAUUUAUGCUUAACUCUUUGAGCACUGAUGGCCAUAUCGUGCCCUUUAAUCAAAUGGCACACCUAUAGAGGGCACUAUAUAGUUUAGUUGUUGCUGUUACUAUUGCUCUAUGGGCGUUGGUGCCCUUUGACCUCAUAGGGCAUAAAUAACUUUUUGUGUGCACUGGCCAUAUUUUUUAGUGUUGAAACUUGACUUCUCACAACACUUUGUAAUUAAGGUUUGUGUUUUGGACUUUAGCAAUUAGGGUCGGGUUUCUUAGUAGACAAUAAGCCGACCAACUCUACCGAUAUGAAUGACAUUGGCUAGAGUGGAUGUGUUUCGCUCACCAUUAUACAAUCGAGUUAGAAUCUCCUUCUACGUAGUUUAAGUUAUUUAAAGUCGAAUAUCAUUUGUAUAUAAAAAAAAAUUAACAACUCCCAUAUAUUAAAUUUCUAACCCAACUCACACAUGCUUGUAGUUUAUCACAUUGUGCGCUAUCAAUAAAAGAAAUUACAAUUUGUAGGUUUGUAUGAUAUUUACAGGAGACCACAGUAAUUCAUUUAUUCUAUGAAGCAAUCUAAAAUUUUGCAAGCUGUAUGCAUUAUUUCAAUGAUCAACCCAUGUUGAUUUGAAUUAUUCUUAAGGGAUUAAUGAGAAACUGUGGUUUUAGCAAUUCUACGAUAUAUUAACGUGAACUAAUUAUAUUAAUUGAUGCAUUAUUUGGAGCUUCUGCUUGUUCAUAUUAUGGUUAUUCAUCUUCGGAAUUCAGCUUUUAGCUGAUCCUUUGUGUUGCCUUCUUCACUUCUGCAGGAUCAGUAGAUUUCUUGUGCUCAUAAUCCUUUUUCAGAUUCUUCACUUCUUCGACGCGUUCUCGUAGCAGAUGGAGCUCUUUGAUAUAGUAGUGUAGUCUAUCUAUAAUCAUUGCCAGGAAUAGGGAAAACCCUGUAUAAUGACAAACAUUCCAGUUCCAGGUUAAUUAGAGAAAAAUGGCAUAAUUACAACUAGCUAAUUGAAAACAUAUAAAUUAUGCACAAAAGCUUGGCAUCGAUCGAGUUGUACCUUGCUGCAAAACCCUAACAUAACUUAUAAAUAAGACAAUCAAUGUAUUUUUCAAUUGGGACAGAAGGCAAUAUGGUACUUCUUGUGAGUGUGUGAAGAACUGUCCCAUGUCGGAAAGUUCAAAAACCUCUCAAGUUUUAUAAAGAGUUGGAUGACUCCACCUAUUGAUUUUAGGGUGCAUGAAACCUCAGUUUUUUUUUUUUUUUUGGCAAGUGGCCAUUUACCAUGGUGGUGGAAAGGAAUCAAGCCCUUGCAUGAUGUCAUGCGUCCGAACCCCAUCAAUGCCUAAUCUAACAAAAUCUAUCGUUUGACAAAAAAAAAAAAAAAAAAAACCUCAGCUUCUUUCACUUCCGACUAAGCUUUUUCCUGCUUCGGAGAGUUUUGUUUUAUAAGACUUAACAUGACAUGAGAUUGGUUACAGGAUUGCCAACAGAAAAGGAUUUUCAUUCAUCGCCCAAAAUUAGAUACAUGCAAUCUUCAAAAUUAAAAACUCCAACUUUACCCUGACAAGGUUACGUAUAUAGUUUUUUCCCAAGUAAAUUUUAAGGACAAGGGUUACUAAAAUAGAUGAUAUAGCUCACCUAUGAGAGAUGCUUCCAGGAGACGAUGUGCCAUAAGAACCUCGUCUGUCGGAUUGACAAAGCCUGCCUCUGAUAAACGUUUUUGAACACUGAAUACACUAUAUAUGGUGGAGCUAAAGAAGACGAGAAUGGUUCCUCCCACGCUCUUCACCACCAAUGGCCCCCGUCCUUGCUUCGAUCGAUCUAACCCCACGAUCACCAACUUCCUCAGAGGGGUUCUAAAACAGAAGGCUCAGAAUCAAUGCCAUUUCAGCCAACACAAGUGUAAACAAAAUUAGAAUCAUUGCUUCUGGUUAAUUAGCAACAAAGUUUUAUUUUUCAAUGAUUUUGCUAACAUGAAAGUGGCUUUAUCUGAAGGAUGUGGAAAAAAACAAUGGUGUAAUUGUUGUUUAGGGUUCGUUUUGUAGGUGUCCUGUGUGAUAUGAUUCUUCAAACUUAUAGUUGAAUCAAGGAAUUAUACUUUCCAUGAGUACAUGAGGCAGGGAUAGAAUUAUUUUUCAUCAUGUCCCCAAGGACACACUUGGUAUCUAUAUCUCUUUGGGAUAUCAGAUAUCUUGUUGUUUAGGAAUUGAGAGUUUUUUCAAAAGAUUCUUUCAAGUCAUAGAGAAUAGAUGAGUUUUCACGUAAAAGUUAUAAACUAAUGGAUUGCUCUGAUAGAUAAGGUCUUUCCUUUCAAAUUAUUGCUUCUUGAUUCAUUAAUUUAUCCCUUUCAUUAGUAGGAGCAUAGUGUUAAUUUUGCUUAUAGUAAAGAAGGAAAACUUUCAAAUUUUGGUGAUGUCAUCUUAUUUUUUUGUUUGUCCUUGUAGCUCUGAAAUUGUUAUGCCAAAUUUUGAGCAACUUCAGCCCAAUCCAAUCCCCUAGGCUAUAGGCGAUCAAAUCCAUUUCCCCUCCCCCUCCAACCCAUACCAAAAGCCUGACUUCUCCCCCAAGCUCGAAUCGAUAGCCAUGAUGGAUAUUUUUUUGACGUCAGUGUGUGGAAAAUACGUACGAGGUGAUGCAGGUCUUUGACAAGAAAUUAACGUUUGGGGCUUAUGUGCAGGCGCACUAAUGGUUGAUUCUUCUUUGGGAACAGAUCGCGGAGUUUUUUUUCAUCUGAAGUUGACAAUCAGGAUUCUAUUAGUCUAUAAUUUAUAUAUAUAUUUUUUUUAAAUUAUCAUUUUUCACACCAAAAAAAAAAGUAAUAAGAAUAGUAAAUUCUUCAAAACGGUGCGCUGCAGUGGUUUAAGACACAUGCCACAAACAACGAGCGAGGAGCAAAUAGCAUUAGGUAAGUGGACUUCCAAGUUCCAACUCUAGUUUGGCCUUUCAUCAGAGUCCGAGUCUGAGCCGGGGAAGACUGUCUAUCUUCAGAGCCUGCAAUGGAGGCGCCGCCAUUCCCCUCUUCCUCCAAAACCCUACCGUUUCGCUCAUCCUCCGCUUCCUCCCUUCUGUUUCUUCCCAAAACUCACCUCAAUUUCAGACGUCCCAGAAGCUUCUCCGUCCGUGCCUCCUCCGCCGCAGAUUCCGGUACUCUCCUCUCCCUCCCUCCCUCUCUCUGUUAAAUUUGAGUUUUUGUUAUUAUUAUUUAUUAUUUUAAUAAUAAAUUAGUUUGUUUCAAUAAUGAAUCAGGGGUGACUCUGCUCGACUACGGCGCCGGCAAUGUUCGCAGUGUGAGGAAUGCCAUUCGCCACCUAGGCUUCGACGUCAAAGAUGUAAUUUUUCUUUUCUUUUUGGUCAAUUAUCUAUCAAAGUUAUGCCCUUGUAACCAAUUUCUUUGUAGUGUUGUAUGUUAUAGAUUUUGUUAGAAAUUUGGAAUAGAAAAGAAAGAUGACAAAAAUCGGUUGGUGUAAAGGAUGGUAAAUAGAUGAGUUGUAUUUUAACAGAAGUUCGAAAUGUAGGUCCAAACACCGGAAGACAUUCUGAAUGCCGAACGCCUAGUAUUUCCUGGCGUGGGGGCUUUCGCUGCCGCCAUGGAUGUGCUGAAUAAGAACGGGUAUGCGUUUCUUUUAUUUUUUGUUGGAUUCUAUAAGGAUCAAUUGCUUGUUGAGUCCGUUUAAAUGGAUUAGUGGCAAUGAACGGAUAAAGUGCAUAUUCGGAGAAUGGGGAAUGUGGUUAAGUUACUCAUGAUCAAAGAAGCAUCGUGACAAUGAUUGGUAGUUAGUUUGAAUAACAAAUUUCAAAAUAAUGGCUCUGAAUCUUCUUGUUUGCUAACUAAUCACAUAAUAUUUCUCAUGUCAUUUAUAGUUUAUUAGCUUUUAGAUUGUGGGAAAAUUUCAGCCCUUUAUUGUUUUUCAGGAUGGCGGAAGCAAUCUGUUCAUAUAUUGAGAAGGAUCGACCAUUUCUUGGCAUUUGUCUUGGACUUCAGCUCCUUUUUGAAUCCAGCGAAGAGAAUGGACCGGGUCAGUGCUUCAUGCCUCUUUUUUCUUCAACUUUGUUUUUCCAAUUUUGUAACUCAUCAUCUAUGAUUCACUUAUAGUUAUUUGGAUGGAAUGGUUUAAAAGGCAUUGAAUUUGUAAAUAAGCUAGAUACAAUGUAUUAGAACACUAAAUCACGUAUUGAAAAGGAUUCGGAAUAACUUAAAAAAUGUAGUAGAAAUGGAUUUGCAAUUGCUGUAAGUUGUACAACUGCAUUUGACAUCAAUGUAUUGCAUUCUGGCGUUAUAUAUUGCAAAGUCCAGUUAAUAAAUUUAGUUAUAUAAUGGUACCUAAAACCCCUAGUAUAGAGAAAUCACUCUUCCCAUAUUAUAGGAGUUUCCUUUCCAUGCUGGCAUACAUAGCAAAUACUGAGGAUGCAGCAAAUCCAUUCGUGAAGUUAUCCUGAUAAUGAAAGCCUCAGGUUGUUACUGUUAGUGACAAUUGAGUUAGACAGCUUGGUUUAAGGAGAUAGUCCUAGAAACAAAUUAAUGUUAAUUUGAAUGUACGUAACAUUAUUAUAGCUUUUUUUUUAUCUAUUUAAUUUAGUAAUAGUUGAACUGAUAUUAUACAUGUCUCAGUGAAAGGUCUUGGCUUGAUACCUGGAGUGGUUGGCCGUUUUGAUUCAUCAAAUGGUUUCAGAGUUCCACACAUUGGAUGGAAUGCUUUGCAGAUUGAAAAAGACUCAUUAAUUUUGGAUGAUGUUGGAAGCCAUCAUGUCUAUUUUGUUCAUUCUUACAGAGCCAUGCCUGUAUGUCUUAUUCUCCUAUUUCACAGAAAAUAAUUUAAAGUUCAUGUAUCUGCUGCAUACUUCCACUAAGAAUACAUUGAUUUGUAUGUUUACUGGGGUUGACAUAGUUUUAUACCAAUUUUCAGUCAGAUGAAAACAAAGACUGGGUUUCGUCUACUUGCAACUAUGGAGACAAUUUUAUUGCAUCUGUUAGAAGGGGAAAUGUGCAUGCAGUUCAAUUCCACCCAGAAAAGAGUGGAGGCAAGAUAUCAUUUCUCUCUCCUGUCUGUUAGUAGAUUUUAAUGGUAGUCCAAAGUGUACAGGGAUUGUAGGAAUGUUCCAUGCCUCGUUUCUUUUAGUAAAAGGGAAGCAGAUUUUAUCUCACAUGACUUUAGACCAUUGAGUUCUUUCCUAGAAUGAAGAGGUACAGUUUUUGUUUAAGGUAGACCAUUGAGUUCUUUCCUAGAACGAAGAGGUAAAGUUUUUGUUUAAGGGCUAGGCGGUGGAUCAUUCUGACCUUUGCUGUGUAAUUUUGGCAUUCUGAGAUCUAUUUUAUAGACUUUUGUUCCAGUUCACUUUAUCCAUGCAUGAAAAGUGAUUUAGAUUUAUUUUCAUUAUAUGAAGGCCUAUUAUUGAUAUCAAUUUUGCCUGAAUGUGAAUGUUUAGAUGUUGGUCUUACGAUAUUGAGAAGAUUUUUGUAUCCAAAGACAAACCUGGAAAAGGUAACCUUUGUACUUAUGAGAAAUAUGCUUCCCAUAUGUUGACUAUGUUUAACCAUCUAACAAUGUGAGAUGUUCUUGUGAAGACAGAAGCCAACUGAAAGGAAGGCUUUGAAACUUGCUAAGAGGGUAAUUCCUGUUGACUUAUUUUAUAGUUUUAUCAUUUUAGUGGUAGGAAAAGUGAGAAGGGAUUGAAUUUUAAUCCGACCUAAAAUAUUGUAGUCCAACUUACAAUAUCAUAGUUCUAAAUGUCUGGGUGAUGGUGCUUUUUAUCUUGUUUUGUUUGUGCCUUUGUGGACUUCUUGUCCGCUUUUGUAUUUUUAUUGUUUCUUUGCAAUAAAAAAUUGUUUCUUCUUCUUCUUCUUCAAAAAAAAAAAAAAAACUUACAAUAUCAUAGGUCGGAUUCGGAUUAUGACUUAUCUCAUUGUCUGUCAUAUGCUGACUGUGAAGGUUGUCCCUAAAUUCUGUUACUUAGGUGAUUGCUUGUCUUGAUGUGAGGACGAAUGACAGGGGAGAUCUUGUUGUAACCAAAGGCGACCAAUAUGAUGUAAGAGAGCACACAAAAGAGAAUGAGGUAUUGCAACAUUUCUUGACUCUUUCCUUAUAUGAUUUUGGUGAUUUUUAACCCUUAUUUCUGGAUGCUUGUCAUGCUUAGCCAUCAGUGAAUAAUAUUUGAUCACAUCCAAAAUAUAUAAGAUCUAGUUCAAUAAGCCCACUUAUGGAUCUUACUGUAGAUUAUUUUCUUGUUUCAAGCACUUCUGGUUUCAUGGUUGAUACCCUUUUUUUUUCACUUUGAGUAUGCGACCUGCUUUAAAAAGGAUCAGCAGCACCUCCUGAAGAAAGCGUAUCUUUGUUUUGAUGGAAUUUUGUUAUUAGUUAAAAAGAAAAGGGAUACUUUUUCUAUUCAUUGGGGUUCUUGCUCUAGCAUGACUAUUCAAGAUCGUACUUGAUAUCUUUUCAUAUUUUUUAUAUGAUUCAAAUUAUUUUCUUUAUGUCAUGAAAAUUGCUUUUAUGUCUACUAAUAAAAAAAUUUAAUAGGUGAGAGAACUUGGUAAGCCUGUAGAGCUUGCUCGACAGUAUUACAAAGAUGGGGCUGAUGAGGUAUGCCUCCUUAAGUUUGAACAAAUUUCACUGCUUAUGUAUCAUCUAAGAGCUCUAGUAAUCUGCUGAAGUCUUAAUUUUGAAUUUUUCAGGUCAGCUUUCUGAAUAUUACUGGUUUUCGAGACUUCCCUCUGGGCGACUUGCCCAUGUUACAGGUUUGUGAUAGAGAAUCAGUUAAUGUUCGACUUGAAUCUUUCAGUUUUGACACAAUUCAGAGUUCUCCGAUUUUAAAGCUGGAUUGUUACAUGUUAAUUAAUUUCCUAAUUCUUGUUUGCUUUCAUGCUUUGUAGGUAUUGAGAUACACAUCAGAAAAUGUUUUUGUACCAUUAACAGUUGGAGGUGGCAUCAGAGAUUUUACAGAUGCAAAUGGCAGGUAUAAUCUUCGGUGUAAAAUUGUGAUGGAUCAAUAAUUGUCCUUUCUUGCAUUUUUCAACUCUACUGCAUAUGUUUUUUACCGGAGAAACUGAAAUCCUAUAGCUUCAACUCAAAUUAUAUAUGCCAAUUAGAUGUAUUGGUAUGGACAUGGAUUAUAGGUUCCCUUUUUUUUCUUUCAGGCACUAUUCUAGUUUGGAAGUUGCUUCCGAAUAUUUCAGAUGUGGGGCUGAUAAGAUUUCUAUUGGAAGCGAUGCAGUUUAUGCUGCAGAAGAAUAUUUAAGAACUGGAGUAUGCAAUAACUUUUGCUGUUUCAAAUUCAGGUUGGUACAAUAUACACAUCACACUGUGUAUGCCUCUCUAAUGGUUUUGUCAACUGAAUUUUCAGGUAAAAAAUGGAAAAAGUAGCUUAGAGCAGAUAUCUAGAGUUUAUGGAAAUCAGGUAAUUUGUUGUCCAGUAGAUGCAUCCAUGCUUAACAUUCUUUUGAGUUAAUCUACACAAUUGGACAUAAUAUAAGAAGUCUCAGUACACAUUUUGUUAUUUUCCUUUGAUCCCAGCGUCCGUUUCUGGAGCAUUUCUUUUGACCCUCCGAGAAUUCAUUAUAGUUCUUGUGGGACCAUAAAGUAGGAAACUAGAGUUGAUGAAGAAGCUCCUCAUUCUGUUCUUUCAGCUUUUAUGUGUUCUGAAUUUAUUGAGGAUCUAGGAAUUUCUGUAGUUUUGACUGACUAAUUAGUCAUGGUCACCUUGACGGUGUUAAUUAUGUCUGGUAUUAUGUCUUAGUAUUUGCAGAAGGCAUGGAUCAUUGUUUCUUUUAUUGAGUUUAGACGAUAUUGAGUUUAUAUGAAAAAUAUGAUGCAGGCUGUGGUUGUGAGCAUUGAUCCUCGCAGAGUGUACAUUAAGAAUCCAAAAGAUGUAGAGUUCAAGACUAUAAGGGUAGCAAACCCAGGUAAGGGGGCAUAACUUCAAAUCUUUCUUUCCUUGUUUCUCCAGCUUGGAUAUGCCAUUGAUCUUCAUGUUUUAUAGACUAAAAUCGUGUGUUCAAAUUUUCAAGGAAAGUUAUAAGAAAGAAAAUUACUUAUUGUUAAUUUCAGGUCCAAAUGGAGAAGAAUUUGCAUGGUACCAGUGCACAGUAAGUAUUCUUUUCCAUUGCUUUCUUUACCUCUGUACUACUGUUCAAAGUUAAAACAGAUAUAUUUCGGAAGCUUGCAUAUUACAUGGAAUUGCUUCAUUUAAUUUGUCCCCAGAAAAUAAUAAUAACAAGAAUGCCCUGAACCUCCAUGUCGCCUUUAAAGUAUCGUAGUAUGGCAUCAAUUGUUGGCUCUAAAGACAUGAUUAGGAGUAUAUAUUGUUGAUUUAAGAUAGUCGCGGGUAGAAUUUUAAGUUCUUCACAAGGGAGAAGGGAACUAGAGUAACCUACGUCAUCUUAUUCUUACCGCACAGACGGCUAUAUCUGUUUGUGCAUCAUUGAAUUGUUUCAUAUUUCCAAUUUGACUUGUGUUAUGAUAUGCUGUAAGACAUUUCCGUGCUUCAAUUGUAUGUUAAAAUAUAUAAUUGGCAGGACAAGAGUAUGAACUUGGUUGUCAGAUGCAACAAUUAGAGAUCCUUGCCUUGGCUGGUUCCGCGUUUACAAGAUUUUCCAGAUUACAUCUUGAAAAUAUCUGUUGUUUGUUCCUCAGGUUAGCGGUGGCCGAGAAGGCCGACCAAUUGGGGCGUAUGAGCUUGCAAAAGCAGUAGAGGAGCUCGGAGCUGGAGAAAUACUGCUAAACUGCAUUGAUUGUGAUGGUAAAGAUUACUAUUGCUUUACUCGAAACUUUUUUUCUGUUACGUUAAUUUAUUUUUCGAGCAUAAUCUUUAUAAAAUGGAUACAUAAAGUUAUUAUGUACAAUGAGUGCUAUCUUCCCCCCGUAAGUUUUAGUUUCUUAAACUACCCAAAUGUUUGAAACUGUCUAUUUUGUUCUGGAAGGCAUUGAUGUCAUUUACAUUUUUUUUUUUUAAACUUCAUUCUCAAACUAGUUUGUUGUUUUUGUUGGAUUUUCAUGCUUAUGUCGAGUCUUCGAUGCUCUCAGGUCAAAAGAAGGGAUUUGAUAUAGAUUUAAUAAAGCUGAUCUCAGAUGCUGUGAGCAUUCCUGUGAUUGCUAGUAGCGGUGCUGGUUCUGCCGAACACUUCUCAGAGGUGUUCAGGAAAACAAAUGCAUCGGCUGCCCUAGCUGCUGGUAUUUUCCAUCGGAAGGAGGUACAGCUUUUGAACCGUUUAUUUGACUUGUUAGCAUCUAGGUGCUGAUCAUCAUUAGUAAUACUCUGAUUAUAAUCCUUGCAGGUGCCUAUUCAGUCAGUGAAGGAGCACUUGUUAAACGAACAAAUAGAAGUCAGAAUCUGAACGCAUCACUGCUCCUAACGCUUUGAAAUAUGUAGGUGACUGAUUUUCUUUUUCGCCAAAAUAAAAAGGUUUUGAGAGAUGUCAAGUUUGUCAAUCUGUUAAGCUGAAACUUUUUAGCUCUUUGACCUGAGCAUGUACCUUCAUUUUGUGGCAGCAGUCGACUCCAACGAAUAUUGGAGUUGUUUAAACAGGGUACCCUGAAGUUUUGUGGAUUUAGGCACAAGUUAUAGUAUGUAAAUUUUUGCAUUCCUGUAUUUUACGGUAUGAUCCCACAUUUGGUAACUCACAGCCCACUCAUCUUCUUCAAGCUCUCAUACUCACUCUGCCUGGUUGAAGCAAACUGAACCCGAAUGCAGUCGUUAAGACCUAGUUGGCUUAUUUAUUUAUUUGCCCCACGAAACUUCUCUUUAAUAUCACUUUACUCCGUGAAAUUUCGAGUGGUGUUCUAAAUCAGUUUUAGUGGAUGUUAGAUUCAGUUCGUUCACGAGGAGCUGCCUGGGAAGUUUGAAUUACAUUGGAUUAGAAAGGAGAAGCAUCCUUCAUUUGUUGCCAAGUACCAAACAUGAAACUGGAUUAAAAAAAAAGAAAAACUAAUGAAAAUUGCUUAAAAACUUCGAGUUUUAAUGAUAAGGACAAAAUAAAGAGUAAAGUGAAUAGUAUCAGGAUUGACUUUUUAGUGUAAAAAUAUGGUUUUUCGUUAAAGUGAACAGUACCGGGUGCUUUUCGUUAAAGUUCUCUUAAAAAAUCUAACCCAACCGAGGAUGCAUAAGAUGUGCCUCAAGUCUUCUUUAUGCGUUGGAUUAGAGAGAAUCAGAGCAUUGCUCUAUGGACUUUAGUCCAGUUGCAGUUUUGAUCACUCAAGUAAUAAUCCGUGGGUGCGUUUUUUGCACCAAACUAUCUCGAACUGGACUAUCUUGAGGGACUAAGCUGGAUUAACUUAGUAAAGUGUUUGGUGCAAUGUCGGAUUAAUAAGCUAGAUAAUGAAAAAAAAAAUUAAAAAAAAAAAAAAAACCAAUACUAUAUCAACCAACAUCAAAAUUUCAUCCAAAUUUGAUCUUAUCAUGCCUCACUCCAACAAUUUCCAUCAUGAUGUAUUUAUCUAACGCUCCCUAUGAAUGCCCAUUUUGAGCUUUUCUAGCAAUAGGAGUAUUCCAAGUAAUUUCUUAACAACUAAACACAACUAUCAACGUUCCAAAUUCCAAAUUCAAACAACAUAUUACACUUAUAUCUCAAUUUCAAAUUCUGGCAAAAAUAAAAUUACACAAAACAAUUAUGCAAGCAACAUCAAUUGACCAUACUUUCCUGGAAGCCUCAAAAAAUUGACUCUCACAAAAAAUUAUUCAACCCCAGUCACAAUCACAAUCACAAUAAUUUAACUCAAACACCUCUUGGGCACUUUCCAAAUCACCCUUUUGCACAUACCCAUUAAUCAAUUGAAUUCACAAUCAACAAAUGACUACAUUUUCAUUCCUUUGGUAAUGAAUUUCUUUCUCAUUGGUCAUUAAUUCACAAUUAUACCAUAACAAAAUCAAAUUCAAGUGGAGAAAUCGAAAACUGUAAGCUAAAAAAUGAGAAGCUCUCACCAGUUUUCGGCAACGGCGGCGAUCUUGGCGAGCUCGUACUAGUUCAGAGAUCACAGGGAAGGAGGAUUUAGCUGCGGUGGAUUCGGAAGGGCUAAGAUUGCUCCGUGAAUGCUCAAGAGUCAUGGGCUGAGAUUGCGGUGGAGGAUUGUGCAACUGGUGUGCGGUGCUCGAAGGCCACAACCAUGGUGCUUUUGCUAAGAGAGAGAGAGUGAAUUGAACGAAGAAGAAAGGAAGGGAGUCAGUGGAUUGAUUUUCAGUUUUUGUUUAAGGUCUGGGUUUAGGCUUUGGGGUGGGAUGGUGAAGGCCCAAGGGAGUGGGCGAAGGUGCGAAGGUGCGAAGGAGAAGGGAGAGGGCGAAGGGGCGAAGGGGCGAAGGGGUGAAGGCGAAGGAAGACGACGAGGGAUCAGCGGCGGGGGAGAGAACGAGACUAACAGUCUGCUAAAAAUCGAGGGGCCUCGCUAAGAACGUUUACCAAAGCAUUCAGUCGGGGGGAGUCCCCGUUAGUCUUGUUGAUGCACAAAACCAGAGGUUUUGGAACAACGUAAAUUCGAUCGUGAAUUUGCAAGAGAUGUAAAUAACACAAGAUGUAUCGUGGUUCACCCCAAGAUUUGGGCUACGUCCACACUGAUUAUGUAUUUAUUUGAGGGAGAGAGUGCUCUGAGAGGGAGAGCUUUAAGAGGGGGUGAGAGGGCCUUGGAAUUGGCCUCCCUAAUUGUGAGGGUGAGAGGUCCUUUUAUAGAAUAAAGAUUCCUCACUUAUUACAUAUUUGCCCAUUCCUUUAUCACAUAAUUACAUUUGAGUCCCCCGAGUAUUUAUACGAGGUCUAAAUACGAGGCCCUAAAUAUGGUAUAAACAGUAGUCCCCCAAGUCUUCAGUCAAGAGAGUCUUUUGGCUGGAGACUUGAAAUUCAGUCCAUAUGUGGGCCGAAGUAAUUAAAUGUUGUCUUGAACUUGAUGCUCGAUAUGAGGCGGUGCUCAAUCUGAAAUGAUGCUCAACUAGAAGUAGCACAUGCUGCAAGGCUGCUUCGCUUGUGGCUUAUGUUGGGGUUGGCUCGGCUUGUGGCAUCGAAGGUGAGGGAGUCCCUUUUAUAGAAUAAGGGCUCGCUCCUUAAUACAUAAAUGAUGGGCUAGAGUUGAUGCUCGCGGUGAGGCGGUUGCUCAGUAGGCGGUGAUGCUCUCUAAUGGUGGUGAGGGAGUCAUUUUUAUAGAAUAAGGGCUCGCUCCUCAAUACAUAAGUGAUGGGCUAGGAGUGAUGCUGGCGGCAAGGCGGUUACUUAGCUGGCGGCGAUGCUCUCUAAUGAUGGUGAGGGAGUCCCUUUUAUAGAAUAGGGGAUCGCUCUUCAAUACAUAAGUGAUGGGUUAGGAGUGAUGCUCGCAACGAGGCGAUUGCUUAGCUGGCGGCGUUGCUCUCUAAUGAAGGUGAGGGAGUCCCUUUUAUAAAAUAAGGGCUCGCUUCUCAGUACAUAAGUGAUGGGCUAGGAGUGAUGCUCGCGGCGUGGCGGUUGCUCAGCUAACGGCGUUGCUCUCUAAUGAAGGUGAGGGAGUCCCUUUUAUAAAAUAAGGGUUCGCUCCUCAGUACAUAAAUAAUGGGCUAAGUCCCCCAAGUAUUUUUCAUGAGGCCCAGUUGAGGCCCAAUAUAUGGUACAUAAUGUAGUCCCCCAAGUCUUCGGUCAAUAUAGUCUAUUGGCUGGAGACUUCAAAUUGAAUCCAUGUAUGGGCCGAAGUGGCGAUUGUUCGAAGGCGGUAUUUGUAUACCCUGCACUAAAGCUUUGUAGGUGAAGCUUUGCAAGUGAAGCUUUGAAGCUAGAGUUCUAUAAAUGAAGCUUUCGAAGCUGGAGCUUUUGUAAAUGAAGCUUUUAAAGCUGAUUGACAUGAGUGAUGCUCAUGAAUGUUUAUGUUGAUUGACAUGAGUGAUGAUCAUGGAUGUUGUCAUGAGUGAUGCUCAUGAAUGUUAACAUGAGUGAUGCUCAUGAAUGUUAACAUGAGUGAUGCUCAUGAAUGUUGACAUGAAUGAUGGUCAUGAAUGUUUAUGUAUAAUUGUCAUGAGUGAUGCUCAUGAAUGUUUAUGUAUGAAUGACAUGAGUAAUGCUUAUGUAUAAUUUGGAGUACUGGGCGUACUUUUAAUCACCUGGUUGGUGGCAUGAAGGAGAGUACGAGUUGUACAUUUCAUCACCUGGUUGGUGGCAUGAAUGGCUAGUUGCCAAAUGAUAUUAGAGUACGGGUUGUACAUUUCAUCACCUGGUGGUGGCAUGAAUGGCUAGUUGCCAAAUGAUAUUGGAGUACGGGUUGUACAUUUCAUCACCUGGUUGGUGGUAAUAGCGGCAGGUUGCCGAAUAAUUUUGGAGUGCUGGGCGUACUUUUGGUCACCUGGUUGGUGAUAAUAGAGGAAGGUUGCCGAAUAAUUUUGGAGUACUGGCGUACUUUUGGUCACCUGGUUGGUGCUAUUUUGGGCUUAUGGGCCUUCGCCCUCCACAACAUGCCAGCCCAUUUAUUUUGGGCUUUGCCCUUUUUUUUUUUUUUUUUUUUUUGGUAUUAUUACCCUUUGAUGGGGUUUAUACAGAUGUCUCCGAGAGAUAAGAAAAAUAAAUUACAUCAUACAUCUGUAAAAAAAAUAAAUCAAAUCAUUUUGGUGGGGUGUUUAUUCCUCACUUUUGCUUUCUCUUUUCUUUCUGUUUUCUGCUUUGGAUAUGUCGCUUGAUGACAUGAUUAAGGGCAACAGGGGUAAUCAUGACAGAAAUAGAAACCAUCGUGGUAGGGGCUCUCGUGGCCUCGGUGGAGCACGUGGCUCCUUUAAUGCUGAAGGGAUGGCCUGGUUGCUUUUCUUUUGCUUUUGCUUUUCCCCAUCUUUGUUUUUCUUUCUGAUUUGCUUUUCUGCUUUGACAUGGCCGCUCUUUAUCCUUCUCCCGGUCCCUGUCACCCUCGUGGUCACUCUUGUCUCUAUCACGUUCUGAAUGGCACUCCCUCACCCACCCAAAUAUCAGGAAGAGAGCUUGAAGACCGAAAACCAACAUCUUCCUCUUUGUUUGGUCUUUGAAAGCACGCAAGGGGUAAGAUUUAAAAACCAAAAUGCCGAGGCACCUUCUCAGCAACAGGCUUUGCUGCAGAUUCUAGAGGAGCGGGUUCAUCGGAGUCUCCUCGUAGAACUUGUUCGACGAUCUCUUUUUUGAUGUCCUUGUAUGGGAAUUCUGACUCGAGGUGAUUGUCUUUGAUACACUGAAUCUCUGCGCUCAGAUCACCUAUUUGGUUGUCUUCCACCUCAUUUAGCCAUUUUGUGCAGUAAGACUGCCUUGCACCUUCCACAUAUUCUUUUAAGAGUCGUACCAAAGGGAACCAGGCAGAUAAGUUGAAGCCGCAAAUCAAUCUAACAGCUUCAAUCAGUUGCUUCCUUUCAAUAAGAUAUUGAACAAAAUCAGGGAUCAUAUCUGCAAAACCAAUUUACAAAGUGCAAAAAUCCCAAAAUCUCUUAAAAACCAACUCAUCUGCAAAGCCCUGCAAAACCAACUCAUCUGUAGAGCCCUGCAAAUUCCUUGUAUCUGUGGUUGCACUCGAUUGAAGAUCCAAAGGAGAUGAAGCUGCGACAUUUAUAAGUUAUGGCACUCUUCCUCGCGAUUUUGAAGCCCUCGACCUCCUCCGCCAGUGUGGGCUGGCUCUUGGCCGAGGAUUGCCUGCAUUUCGCAGCCAACACUGCCAUGCGAUAGAUCACGGCAGGGUCCGAUUCUGGGGUCCAAGACUUCGGCGAAGUCGUCGCGUUUCAUGAUCGGCAUGGCCUAGUCCACCAACGAUGGCGGACUGUAGUUCGCGUCAAUGGUGUUUCUCCCACUCAGAAUCUCUAACAGGAGUGUUGGAUCUUGAUGGGCUUUUCAGCGGUGGCGGUGGUUUUGGACAAUGAAGUUUGGGCGACGGAGAUGGCUAAGUCAGCUCGGCAAGAAAGGUAACCCCUAAGAGGAAAAUUGAGAUCUUAACUCUGCGUGUUCUCAGAACUCGGGUUCAGAGCCGCUAUGGGAAGGACCAAAAGGUCUUUUUCUUUUGAAUUGUAGAGAGGAAAUUCAGAUGGAUUUAUGUUUUUGUUGUUGUUAGGCAUAUGAAAAUGGAGAACCGUGGGGUUUUUUUGGGAAAGCUUUGGAUUUUUGCAAAUUCACGGCGGAGGUGAAAAAAUGAAAGAGAGCCGAUAUAGCUUUUUGUGUCAUUUUCCACAGACGGCGCCAAAUGUUGAUGCACAAAACCGGAGGUCUUGGAAUAACGUAAAUCCGACCGUGAAUCUGCAAGAGAUGUAAAUAACACAAGAUGUAUCGUGGUUCACCCCAAGGUUUGGGCUACGUCCACACUGAUUAUGUAUUUAUUUGAGGGAGAGAGCUUUGAGAGGGAGAGCUUUGAGAGGGGGUGAAAGGGCCUUGGAAUUGGCCUCCCCUAAUUGUGAGGGUGAGAGGUCAUUUUAUAGAAUAAGAACUCCUCACUGAUUACAUAUUUGCCCAUUCUUUUAUCACAUAAUUACAUUUGAGUCCCCUGAGUAUUUAUACGAUGUCUAAAUACGAGGCCCUAAAUAUGGUAUAAACAAGUCUCAUUAAAACUAGUCCAAUGUGGACAACAAGCACCGGAUUGGACAAACACUUAAUCUAGUCUAGUCCAAUGAUCCUUAAAAAGGUCAAACAGACACACCCCGUGAGAAUUGAUCUCUAAACUUAUCAAAAAGAACAAUUUCGACGUAUCUAUAUAAAGGUACCACAUGUAACGCAUGUUACUACCUUAUCAAAGAGAACAUCAACUUCCUAUUCAAAUAUUUAUCUUUGAAUUCAUAUUCUACUCUACCAACAUGUAAAAUACUUCUGUGAAUGAGAGCUGUUAUUUGCUCUCCAAAAAUGUAAUCAUGCAUUCCUCCAAAUUGUUCUCUUAUAUUUUUACAUAGGAGUGCCAUAUGACUUUUUCAGAAAUGCCGAUAACAGUGCUAUUCUCGUACUUUGCAAAGCAAAAAACAAAUAACAAUGACAAUAUUAUGGGGAUCAUCAAAACAAACCAUCAAAUAAUCAGCCAAAAAAAAAUCUAAGAAUCGAGUUUAGGAUAUAAUGUCUUUCGACAUGAGAUAAAUUCUACACAAGGAUUUGAAGAAGUUCUAAAUACAUGUUCCUUGGAAAUAAUUCCUACGAUAUAAGAUUCACAGUAGCUCAAAACAUCUAGAAAACGGGGUCGAUCAACUAUUAGAAGUAGAAAACACAGCCUGACAAGCCUCAAUUGAACAACUCACCUAGGAUCUCAGUUAACAGAUCAAAAUCCUACCAAAAAUGGUGCCUUCCGUAUUUAUGUUUCCUGUAGUAUAUCAGAUUUUUUCAAAAACCCGAAUCAAAUCACGUACCACUGCUGAUGGGGGGCUUCAUACGUCGAGGAGAAGCCUCUGAGGGUCCUCCACAACAUCUUUAAUACGACGCAAGAAGUAAACUGCCUCUCUUCCAUCAAUGAGCCUAUGGUCAUAGGUAAGAGCAACAUACAUCAUCGGCCGCGGGACAAUGUUGCCUCCGACAACCAUUGGACGGUUAACUAUUGAGUGCAUACCCAAGACUGCCGACUGCCAAAAAAAUCGCUUGUGUGAGAUUACGUUUCCAACGUUGGUGUCUACCCAGAAUAAGAAGUUCCAGUUGUUCAAACAAGAUAAUAAAAGUCCAAGUUCAUCGUGUCAGAGAAGCACCAAACCUGAGGGGGAUUGAUGAUGGGGGUACUUAGAAGGCUUCCAUAAACUCCACCAUUAGAUAAUGUAAAUGUACCUCCAGCCAUCUCGUCGAUUGAUAUAGAUCCAUCGUUUGCUUUCUUUGCGAGGGUGUUGAUCUCCUUCUCUAUCUCAGCAAAAUUCAUUUUAUCAGCAUUGCGGAUAACUGGCACAACAAGGCCCUGCAAGAAAAUAAAUUGAAAAACUUAUAAAGAAGCAAUUAAAAUGCAUUCUUAUUUUACAGGUACGAUCAGCUACUAUGUUUCUACUCAUUCCAGAACAUAAUAACCAUGAAAAACAUGUAUAUUUACACAAAGGUUACAACUUCUGAUUAUACGGUUAAACAGAUGAAACGACAAGAAUACCGUCACAAACCCUGAGCUUAUGUGACAGUUUGUAGAAGGAAUACCACAUUUUCACUCUUAAAAAUCUAAAAAAUAGAUUUCUGGAUGGGAUCUUACGGAUUAGAAGACUGUUAAACCAACCGAACUUGCAAAUGCAAAUGCCGAAAUCAAAGAGGGGUAAAAUUUUUAGUUUCACAUAAAAGUUGCUAUUUUGACAUCUAUGUUUGCAAAUUGUCAAGAUGGAAGGUAUAUAAAUCAAAAGAAUUAUGGCCAAACCUUUGGAGUGCCAACGGCUAUACUUAUAUCUAUGUAAUCUCUGUAUAUGAUAUCGUCCCCAUCAACGACUGCAUUAAUAGUAGGCUGGUUUUGGAGACCACUGACGGCAGCCUGUUAAUAGAAAACAAAUACAGAUAAGAGUACAGAAUAUAGAUAUGCACGCAACAUAUUAUUCUGUCUUUCAUAUUAGCAAUUCUACACGUAUUAUGUAUGGCGUACUUUGAUAAAUCCAGACAUAAGCCCCAACUUGACUCCGUGCUUCUCAACAAAUGCAUCCUUGUACUCAGAACGAAGCUUCAUCAAAUUGGUCCUACCACAAGCAGCAAACCAGUGAGGGAAGAAAAGAAGACGCAUAUAUACAAUCCCUGAUAAAACUGGAAAGGCACAGAUUGAGUUCCGCUAACCAGCCACACCAAAGAAAAUACAUGCAAUAGCAUCAAAAGAAAACUACAGUCAAUUUAUUCAAGAUGGAGCAUGCCAAAAGUUGGUGAAUUAAUCCAAGAGCUGGAAGAAAAAAACAUGAUGAAUGCUGAAGAAUACUUUUUUUGAACUCACAUAUCAACUUCAUUGAAUGUCGUCAGCAUUGCAAAUGUGUUCUGUGAGUCCUUCAAUCUUAUACUAACCCGCCUCCGAAGCCUUGUCAUUGGAAUCUUCAAUCAUGCGGUUUUAAAUGAUUAUAAGCAGAACAUCAAAAUAGCCUCAUAAAAUCUUGCAGAGGAUUUUCAUUUUAUAUUUUAAAAUAUGCUAAAAAUGAACAUAAUGUAAGAAACCAUAGAAGACUUACUCGUCUUUCCCUUUCCUUAGAGUAAAGCUGAGGUUCUCUGGCAGAGGGUUUAGGAGGUGGUGAAGAGGGAGUUUUACGCUUUUCAGUAACAGGUGUAGUUUCAACUUUAGGUUUUUUCUUCUUGACAAUCUUUUCAACAGGGGGAGAUGGUUGAGCAAGAGCUUUCUCCGAUGUCUUCAGUGACGGACUGACAUGGGCUACACCUUCACCGGACUUUGAGAUAACAGCAAUCUUGGUGCCUGGUUCGACAGUAUCCCCUUCAUUGGCCACAAACUGCCAACAAUUAAAGUAAACACACAGGAUGAACUAAAACAUCAGCAACCAAUGCACUCAUAUGAAAGAGCACCAAAGUUAAUGGGACUAAAAUCUACACCUUUUGGAUCACACCGGAUUCAGGACUAGCAACAUCAAUCGUCACCUGAUGAAAAAUAAUCACAGAAUUAAAAUCCUACUCAUGGUUCCUGUCACUUAGGGGUUACCAAUCCCUUUUACAACUGUGGAAAACUAUAUUAACAUUCAAAUAGGACUUUAUUAUAGAACCUUAUCUGUUUCAACUUGAGCAAUUGGUUCGUCAACUGCAACCCUAUCACCAGGCUCUGCCUCCAAAAAGGGCAUAAUCAGUAAUAGAAUCAGACCCAAGAACAUUCAGCGUUAUGUAUAUUUGACAGAAUAUAAUAAGUGGCUGAGCAUACUCUUCAAGAAUUUCGCCAAAGUGCCAUCAGUGAUAGAUUCACCCAUAAAAGGGACGACGGCAUCAACCAUAUCCCCUGCAUCAUAUGGAAGCCAAAAGUUAAACCUCAACCCAGAGAGAGAGAGAGAGAGAGGAGAUACCAAAGACAUUAAUUUCCUCACAGGAACUAAAAACAGUAAAUUCGAGGGUGUUAAAUUGAUGGAAGAAAAGUAGAUAACCGACCAAUCUCUGAAGAAAAGGGCCUGCUCCACAUUUGCCUGAUAGGCUCUGGCAGAAUAUAGCCACCAACAUUCCUGAGAAACAGUCAAGCCAUGAUGAUUUCCUUCUUUUUCUUUUUAGAAUAAAGAAACUGAACUAGAGCAAAGGAUGUAAGAUUGUGAGUAUGAAAUAUAAGUUGGGACCGGUUAUAUCGUUUAAGAUUGAUAUAGAAAAGUCUUUUGUUUAAAGUAGUUAAGAUAUCCUUAUUGAUUUGGGUUAACAGGAUUGAGAGAAGUUCUAAUUGGUUUUGGAAUAAGACUCGGUAUUGGAACUUUAUAGUGUCUCAUAAUUCUGUUUGGUUUGUAGCUUUGAGUCUCAGUCCGGUUCUGAUAGGGAAUGGACAGAGGAAUGCUAUAUAUAUAUAUAUAGCUCAAACCCCUGCUCUUGCGAUCGUAAGCUUGUAGAGUUCUAAGACCUAUUGAUUAGAAGAGCUUUUCUUAUCGUUAAAGAGGAGAAGGUUUUGAGCAAGAAGACUGGAAUGGCUUCUUCAUCAGGAUCAAAUAAUGCAGGUAUGUUUCAAAGAACUUUGACUCUCAUAUCUGUUUAAAAUACAAAAUUUGUAUCGGCUGUGGUUCAAUUGGAUGAAUCUUUGAUUCUUGAAUAAGGUGUUAUAAACUUGUUCUUACAUGUGGUAUCAGAGCCAGUAGGGUUCAACCAUUGAAUUCAACCGGAAAAAAAAAAAAAAACUUGAAAACAUAUUAUCUGGGUUUCGAACUGGGCUCUUAGGGUUCUUAGAGCCUUUAGUUAAGAACGGUGCCGUUUGCGUUAAAAUAGCCUUUAGACAAGUCAUAAAAAAAAAAAUAAAUAAAUAAAUAAAUAAAUAAAAAUAAAAAAAAAUUAAAAGAAAAACGGUGUCGAUUGGUAUGUUCUUCGAAGAGGACUCUCUCUCUUAUCACCUGUGAUCGACCCUUUUUUCUUCCUGAUUACUUCUCUGAUUCAUGAUUCUUAGUCGAAAUAGAUGCUGAAAUUGACGAAUCUUGAAAGUUAACUACAAAAGGUAUGAACUUGAAAUUCGAAUUUAUUUCAGAUUAUUUGAACAUUGAUAUGAUUCAUGUAUGAUUAUCUGGCAUAAGUCAAAAGUAAUACAGAUUGUUCUUGAAAGAUGCUUCCGCUUAUAUAUCUGACAUCAGAGACUAUAUAUAUGUAUAUUGUGCAAUCUGUGGUGACUCUAAUGCAGAUAUUGAUGAAUCCCGUUGAAUUGCUUAUUCUAUAUGUGUCUUUAAAAUAUCAUAUCAUAUGUAUGAAUAAGUUGAUUCAAUGAAUAAGUUUGGUAGUGAAAAGACUGAAAUCAAGAAUCUUUAAGAUUCAUAGUGAUGAUUUCAUUGUUGUCUAAUGCAGUUUCACUAAGAUCACUAAACUUAGCAGCAGUGCCAAUACUCACUGGUGGAAGCAAUUACAAAAGAUGGAGAAGAGAGAUUGAAUUGCUUUUGACACUAAAUGAGUAUGACAUUGCACUUGACAAUCCACAACCUGAGGCCUUAACAGACAAAAGCACUAAGGCUGAGAAGGCUGAUUUUGAGAGAUGGACCAGGGCCAACAAAGUGGCACUAUCGAUACUAGAAAGUGGUAUGACAGACACUGUGCGUGGUGGAAUAAAGAAGUCAGCUCUUGCAAAAGAUUAUCUCCAAGCCAUUGAGAACAAAUUUAAAGAAUCAGAGAAGGCUGAGAUUGCUCAAUAUAUGUCCCUCUUGACUUCUUAUAAAUUUGAAGGUGGUGGAUCAAUCAGAGAUCACAUUCUGAAAAUGACUGACGCAGCUGAAAAACUUAACUCCAUGGAAGUUAAUAUUGGAGAGAAACAACUUGUGUUUAUGAUACUCCAAGCAUUGCCACUCAAAUUCAGUCAACUCAAAGUGUCCUACAACACUCAAGACAAGACUUGGACAGUGGAUGAACUCAUUGCUCAAUGCGUGCAAGAAGAGAACAGACAGAAACAAGAAAAGGGAAAGGAGUCUGAAAUUGUUAAUUUUGUCCAAGUUGCCAAAGGAAAGAAGGAGUCCAAUGUUGGUAAAUUUUCUAAACCACAAUCUUAUGAUAAAUCUGUUAUGCCUGCUAAAAGUUUCAAUUCCUCUAAGUCUAAUAAGUUUAAGGUAAGAACUAAAAGUGUUGAGAAGAUUAGAUGUCAUCACUGCAAGACUAAGGGUCACUAUCGAAAAGAUUGUGAAAUAUUCAAGGAGUGGCUGAGAUCUAAAGGUAGAACUGAUGUCUAUGUCUGUGAGGAGACAAACCUUGUUGAUAUUCCUACAAACUCUUGGUGGUUUGACACCGGCGCAUCUGUGCAUAUCACUAACACUUUGCAUGGUUUUAAAGAACAAAAGAAGACAAACAGUUUUAAUGUUUUUGUUGGAGAGGGAACCAAAGUUUCUGUUGAGUCCAUAGGCACUGUCAAACUAAGAUUAGACACUGGUUUUACAAUGCAAUUGAAUGAUGUGUUAUAUGUGCCCAAAAUGAGAAGAAAUCUUGUUUCUGCAUCAAAACUGGUCAAACAAAAGUAUGUUUUUGUAGGAGAUGAUGAGUGUGUCAAGUUUUUCAAAAGGGGAUCUUUACAUGGAAAAGCAUUUCAGCAUGACCAUCUUUGGAAAAUACAGUGCAAUGUAGAAUUUGAGGACUUACAUGUUUUGAAUACUGCAACUAAGAGGAUGCAUGCUUCUGAUCAAUCUUUUAUACUUUGGCAUAAGAGGCUAGGACACAUUUCGAAAGAAAGAGUUUUUCAGUUGUCUAAAAUGAAUUUGAUCCCUGCAAUAGACAUUAAAACUGCUGCAGAAUGUGUUGAUUGCAUCAAGGGCAAGAUGACUAAUACUAGAAAAUUAGAUGCUAAAAGAAGUAAUGCAUUGCUCGAGGUCAUUCACACAGAUAUUUGUGGGCCAUUUCCUGUCAAAACCAUUUGUGGGAAUACUUAUUUUGUAAGCUUCAUAGAUGACUUCUCGAGAUUCAGUUAUGUUUACCUAAUAAGUGAGAAAUCGGCAGCCCUUGAAUGUUUUAAAGUCUUUAAAUGUGAAGUUGAGAAACAGUUAAACCAUGUGAUUAAAGUUGUUAGAUCAGAUAGGGGAGGUGAAUACUUUGGCAGGCAUACAGAAGCAGGGCAACAAAAGGGUCCAUUUGCUCAUUUUCUUGAAAGUCAAGGGAUUGUGGCUCAAUAUACCACUCCUGGUACCCCACAGCAGAAUGGAGUGGCAGAAAGGAGGAAUAGAACUCUUAUGGAAAUGGUGAGAAGCAUGAUUUCAAGAUCCAAGCUCCCAAAUUUUCUUUGGGGAGAGGCAUUGAAAACUGCAACUAUAUUAUAAAUCGAGUGCCCUCAAAAUCUGUGCCCAAGACACCUUUUGAAUUAUGGCAUGGCAGAAAGCCAAGCUUCAAUCACUUUCAUGUAUGGGGAUGCAAAGCCGAAGCAAAAUUCUACAACCCAAGUGAGAAGAAAUUGGAUCCAAGAACAACUACAUGCUAUUUCAUCGGUUACUCAGAAAAGUCAAAGGGUUUCAAAUUCUAUUGUACACAAGCAUACACAAGGAUUCAAGAAACUCACAAUGCCAUUUUUCUGGAGGAUGAAGAUGUAUCAGAUAUGACACAUGAAACAUUCGAUUUGAAGAGAUGGUGCAAUCAGAAAAUUGUUCUCAAUUAACCUACAAUCAAGUACCAGUAUUGCAAAGAUCUCACCCAACUACCGAUGAUCUUGAUGAUGAUAUGGCAGAAGCUGAGAGCAAUGAUCAAGCAAGCAUUGAGAAUCGAUCAGAGACUCAGAAUCAAAAUCUCAAUGUUCAAACAAAUGAGAAUUUAACUGACCAACCACAGAUCAGGAAGUCUAACAGAAUUAAGAAACCUGUGAUCUCGCAAGACUAUGUGUAUCUUCAAGAAACGGAAUUCGAUUAUGGUGAUAUAGAUGAUCCUAUGACCUAUCAGCAAGCUAUCAAAAGUCCUCAAGCAGUCUUAUGGCAGCAAGCAAUGGUGGAGGAACUUGAGUCAAUGGCAAACAACAAUGUUUGGUCUUUAGCAAAGCCAUCAGAUAACACUAAACCAGUAAACUGCAAGUGGGUAUUUAAGACCAAGAGAGAUGCUCAGGGAAGAAUUGAGAGAUAUAAAGCUCGAUUAGUUGCAAAGGGAUUCACACAAAGGGAGGGAGUUGACUACAAUAACACCUUUUCACCAGUUUCUUCCAAGGACUCAAUGCGAGUGAUAAUGGCCUUGACAGCUUAUUUUGACCUGGAAUUGCAUCAGAUGGAUGUCAAAACUGCAUUUUUGAAUGGUGAACUUGAUGAGGAGAUCUUUAUGUCACAACCUCCUGGAUUUGUUGAAAGGGGGAAAGAGGAUAUGGUCUGUAAAUUGAAUAAAUCAAUCUAUGGUUUGAAACAGGCUUCAAGACAAUGGUUUCUGAAAUUUGAUCAAGUAGUUACUUCACAAGGGUUUAUUGAAAACAAGAUGGAUGAUUGUAUCUACCUUAAGUUCAAGGGUUCCAAGUUCAUUUUUCUGGUCUUGUAUGUCGAUGACAUUUUGAUUGCAAGUUCGGAUGUACAGUUGCUAAAAGAGACGAAGAGCAUGCUGAGUUCAAACUUUGAAAUGAAGGAUCUUGGGGAAGCUCACUAUGUUCUCGGAAUUGAAAUCAUGAGAGACAGAAGACAGAAACUCCUUGGUUUAUCUCAGAAGGGAUAUAUAGAAAGAGUGCUUAACAGGUUUAAUAUGGAAAGCUGCAAUAAGGCUGAUGUUCCAGUAAAUAAGGGUGAUAAGUUCUCUCGUGAUCAAUGUCCUAAAAAUGAACUUGAGACUAAAUUGAUGAAGAUGAAACCAUAUGCUUCUUUAGUUGGCAGCCUUAUGUAUGCUAACAUAUGUACCAGACCUGAUUUGGCUUUCAUUGUUGGACUUUUAGGAAGAUUUCAAUCAAAUCCUGGAGAAGCUCACUGGGUGGCAGCCAAGAAAGUGUUGAGAUAUUUGCAGAAAACAAAGGGGUUUAUGUUGGUUUAUGGGCACAGUGAUCCGUUAGAGUUGAUUGGAUACACUGAUUCUGAUCUUGCUGGGGAUGUAGAUGAAAGAAAAUCAACUGGAGGAUACAUUUUUAAGUUGAGUGGAGGUGCUGUGUCUUGGAAAAGUGCUAAACAGACUAUUGUGUCAACUUCAACUAUGGAAGCUGAGUUUGUAGCAUGUUUUGAGGGAAUGAAACAAGCAGUUUGGCUCAGAAACCUGAUUUCUGAUAUGAAGCUUGUAGAUUCAGUCAAAAGGCCUAUAAGAAUGUUCUGUGAUAACAAUGCCGCUGUGUUUUUCUCAAGGAAUAACAAAAGACUUCGGCCUCGAGGUUAAUGGAUGUAAAGUUUCUUAAAGUUAGGGAGAUGGUCAAGAAGGGGGAAAUAGAUAUUCAGUAUUUAUCUACCGGUGCAAUGAUCGCAGAUCCUCUUACCAAGGCCUUGCCAAAUAAUUUAUAUAAGGGACAUGUUGCUAAGAUGGGGGUGGUAGAGUCUUUUGAACAGUGGGAGUAAACUGUUUCAAAAUUGGAAGACUGUUGGAGUGUUCAUUCGAAUUUGAUGACAUUAAGACAGCAAGUCUUCGUAGCUAGAUAGUUUUAUUUGAGUUAGUGUUUUGUUUAGUAAGUAGCUUAUUUUGGUUUUCAAUAAGUGUUCAAUUCUUCCAAUGUGAUUAAUUGUUCCAGAAAACAAGUUUUAUUCAAUAAAAGUAAGUUUGCUAAGAAAUCAGUUUUGUGAUUUGGUUGAUGCAUGCUUAUUGGUAUGUUGAAUGGUUAAAGAUCAUUGACUUGAUUCGAAUUAUGAGAGCUGUAUUACUCAAGUGAGAGUUAUACAUUUUGUGCUCUGUGUUGUGAUUUAUACGAUUCUUAAUUGCAGAUUGAAUAAGUAGUAAUUGUUGAAUUGGUUUCUGUGAUGUACAGAGUAGAUUCUUCAGUUCCUUAUUUUGAGAUGCAUUAUGAUUGUAAUCUGAGAGGAUGAUUAGAGCUUGCAUAAGACUUAGUGAUCACUUCUAUAAAUCUUAAAUACUGGUUAUUGUGUUUCAUACUCAAGUGGGAGAAUGUAAGAUUGUGAGUAUGAAAUAUAAGUUGGGACCGGUUAUAUCGUUUAAGAUUGAUAUAGAAAAGUCUUUUGUUUAAAGUAGUUAAGAUAUCCUUAUUGAUUUGGGUUAACAGGAUUGAGAGAAGUUCUAAUUGGUUUUGGAAUAAGACUCGGUAUUGGAACUUUAUAGUGUCUCAUAAUUCUGUUUGGUUUGUAGCUUUGAGUCUCAGUCCGGUUCUGAUAGGGAAUGGACAGAGGAAUGCUAUAUAUAUAUAUAUAUAGCUCAAACCCCUGCUCUUGCGAUCGUAAGCUUGUAGAGUUCUAAGACCUAUUGAUUAGAAGAGCUUUUCUUAUCGUUAAAGAGGAGAAGGUUUUGAGCAAGAAGACUGGAAUGGCUUCUUCAUCAGGAUCAAAUAAUGCAGGUAUGUUUCAAAGAACUUUGACUCUCAUAUCUGUUUAAAAUACAAAAUUUGUAUCGGCUGUGGUUCAAUUGGAUGAAUCUUUGAUUCUUGAAUAAGGUGUUAUAAACUUGUUCUUACAAAGGAAACACGAAUUCAUAAUAAAGUCAAAUACAAAGGGGAAAAAAAUAACUUUAUCUUAGUUCUUCACUAAAAUUUGUUUCAUGUUAAUGAAGUGAAUUUGACAUCUCGGUUUACAAUUCAGGACCAAGGUGAGAAAAAGAGACUGCAGAUGAAUAUAGAGAUGCCCCAAACCUAAUUCGCAACCAAACGGUUAUGUUGUCACUCAGUCAAGCAAAGCAUCAGAAAACCAGGAUUGAGAACAAAUGCACCAUAAACUUCAAACAGAUGCAGCGUGAGAAAGAGAGGUUUUCACCCUAAGAGCCUUGCUUGCUUCAUACAUUAUCAAUCAUUUACGCAUACGGAUACAUAAUUACAUUGUCUACAUAAGUAGUGUACACAAUCCGACUGGAAAGCAGAACAAAUCUCUUUUGUGAAUGCAGAACACAAUGUACAAUAGGAUAACAUUACCGUCAAUUCACAAGACACCGGCUGGUAAUUAUCGAGUUAAACAGAAUAGACAGAAACAACAUAAUGCGGUCACUAACCUUGUUGUCCUGCUACAAGGCGAGGAACCUGUGACAAGAAAGCAUGUAUUACAGCAGGAUCAAUCACACCGACACAUUGAUUGAGAUAUAAAACAAAACCAUAUGUAAAAGUAAUCCAUCUUUCAGAAAAACUUACCUGCAAAAAUGAGGUGAGAAAGGUUUCGAAUACGGUCUAAUCCUCCUUUGGGUUGAAGUAAAAUCUGUACCCACGUGCAUGGAAAUCCAAAAAUGCAAUAAACAUACCAAAUAAAACACAUUAAACGUAAACCCACACUUCUGAAUUCGACGUUGAUAGAAGCUAGCAAAACCAAAUUCAAUUUAUAGUAAACAUAAGCAUGCACAUCGUGUAACAUCACAGAAGAACACAAUAUAUAUUUGAAUUUUUUUAUAGAAAAAAAAGGGGGAAAUACAAAGUAGUAGAGAAAGAACCUCCGAUUUUGCAACAGGUCGGAUUGACAGCAGUGAGUGCCCCAAAAUCUGAGACAAACAACAGAAAUAAAGCUUUCAGAAUAAUCUACGAAAUAUAUAUAUAUAUAUAUAUAUAUAUAUAUAAUAUAUAUAUAUCAAAUUCAUUUAAAAAAAUAUAUGCAAGAAAAAAUAUGUAGUAUUGGGUUGUUUACCGAAGCAGAGGAGCCCCCAGAAACGACUCUUCGCCUUAGAACGCCAAGCAUCGUCGUUGUUUCGAUCAGUCUCUCUCUCUCUUUGAGGGUUUAGGUUUUAAGCGAAAUUUAUACAAAUGGGAGUGAAGAUUUCAGAACGUAGGGUUUUUCGAUACUAUUAUAAAUGUCACUUUCAUUCACACGCAGAAAGAGACGCGGCGCCAAGAUGUGUAAGCUACACGUCUUGCUCUUUUAGUAUAUUAUUCGGGUUGGUGGUUUGGGCUGGUUCGGUUUUGGGUCAAGAGAUUUUUUUAAGUAUUAGAUAUUUAAGCUGUACUUUAUAUAUUAUAAUAUGUAGGGAUUUUUUAUCUAAAAUGAUAUUUGAGAUUUGCAUAACUACUUACUUUGGUCCGUGAGAUUUGAAAUCAAUAGAUGUGGUUCCAGAGUUUGUCUACUAUCAAUCAUUUUGAUCAUUCUGUGAAAAAUUGUCAUAUAAGAACCAAAAUACCCUCAAUUUUACAAACAAUGAUCCAAAAUGAUUUGACAAAAUUUGAGAAUAUUUUUAUCAUUUUAUUCUUAUUUAAUAGAGAUUUUUCAAUGAAGGACCAUUAUGACUAAAUAGAGAUUUUCACACAACCCUCCUUAUUUAUAGUCGUCUGAUUGAACAAAUCAAAUUAAAACAACUAAAAUGACUAAGUAGAGAUAUGUGAGACGCUAAAAAAGGUGUAUGUUUAUCAUCUUCCAAUCUAUAAACAAACAAAAAUGCUAUUUUUAUCAUCUAUUUAUACCAUCAUUUGUACCGUCUCUCUAUUAGAGAUAGAACCAGCAUGCGUUGGUGGGUCCGACCUCUAUUAGAAAAAUAGUAUAAAUAGAUAGUAAAAUUACUCAUAAACAAAUAAUGGUAACGGGCGAGAGCAUCGAUAGCUAAAGAUUUUUCAAUGUAUAUGAAAUAUUGCUACUGAAUGUCAAAAUUUCACUAAACUCAUUAAUAAACUAUAAAAAUGAGACAUAUUAGUCGUCCAACUGUAUUAUACCACGAGACAAAUCUUUCACAGUAGACAAAUUUCUAAUGGAUAGCUCCAUUACAUAAACCACGUUAACUUAUCUCAUUCUAUUAUCGAACAAUAAGAAGUUAUAACUCAUAAGUCUACAAAGAUACUGCUUUUUUCUUUACAACAUUCAAAGAUAUAUAUUGUUGGAUUUUAUUAAGAGAAAGAGCUUAGCUUUGGCUAGAGAUCAUGUGCAGAUAAAAGUUUCUUAUAAUAACACUGUAACACAUGCAUGGAUACAUUAGCACAAUUGGGUAAUUAACAAUCAUACGAAGAUCAGCUUUGUGUCUUCAACAAAUUAGGGUUCGAACAUUGUCAUCACGAUUAAAAUACUUGGUUGCUAAAGCAACGAUGGUACACAUUACAGUUGACACAAAACAACAAGACUGUCCUUAACAUAAGUACGUACUAAAUUACUAAUUCAAGAUAGAUAUAUAAUUUGAUUUGGAAGUGCAUGGAGAAAUGAAUCGUAGAGUAUUCAUGCACACGUACGUCUUCAAGGCAAUCCACCCCCAAGCCCACCGCCAGCACCAGCUCCUCCACCGAAACCUCCCCCAGCUCCUCCUCCAAGUCCUCCUCCACCACCACCACCGAAUCCUCCUCCGCCACCUCCUCCAGCUCCACCCCCAAGACCACCACCGGCUCCAAACCCACC
rnacentral:lncRNA from 1 species